rnacentral:lncRNA from 1 species
CCGCCCCUAGCUCUAUAAUCCACCCGUCCCAGUCCCUGAAAGCCCUCCUAUCCUUGGCCUAGCCCUCUUUCUCAACUCGAGUCUUAAGUUCAGCGGCUUUCAUCAUUGACGAAGACCUGCGCUAAUAAGACAAAGAAGUGGGGAGUCUAUGCCUUUUCAUAAAACGAAAAGCUUUCAGUCCUUGAAUGAAUCAGUAACAACGAAUUCGUGGAAUGAGGGAUCAAGAAACGGAUAGGGAGGGGAAUGGCCUUUCCAUUAUUGGUGGACCUUCCCUUGAAUUGAACCGGUCACGGAGCUCUUGAGUUGUUUAGGUUCUGGAAUUCCAUGGAGAGUUGGGGGUUUCGGUUCGAAGGUUAUAAAAUGCGGUGCGGGUUCAUCUCUCUCGACCAGUUCAGGUUCAAGGGAAGGGUGAUCGAGGGGACCCAGACUUUUGAUCUCUUUCUUCUGCGGGAGGUUUCUUUCGUAUCAAGAGUGUGGUGGGGAGGCCAGGGAAAGACGGAUUGGAUCGAGAGGCGAUGCCUACUCUACUCGUUACCACUAAACGACGAAGCCAAGAGCGGAAGGAGGGACUUGAACCCUCAACCUCAGCCUUGGCAAGGCUAUGCUCUACCAUUAAGCUAUUUCCGCCAGCAACGGUAGUGGCGAAGCACUACGGAGCAAUUAACGUAUCACUUGAUACGGACGACUUCUUUUUUUCCGCCGGACCACACUCUUAACCUCCGAUCGAGCUACGAGCACGAGUAGGUAGGCGGGGGGAGGGGCGGCUGCCUUUUCAAUCAAUCUCCGGCCGCUCAGUGCCGCUAUUGGUGCGAGUUGUAAGGAGUCUUGGUCUCGAGUCGAGCUGGGGCGUCAUUUCAUUCUCGUAACGGGAGUGAGUGCACCGCAAGAUCAGACAAGUUACUCCCUCGCAGCGGUGGCAUCUGUCUUUUAAGUUCAGUCAUUUCCUAAGAAGGCUCCUCUUAUUAUACGAGAAUCCAAGCAGAUCCGGGAGCUGAAACAUGAGUGUUUGUCUCUUUUUCAACUUCAACAGGAAUGCAUCAACAAAACAGCCCUUCCAUAUAGAUCGUCGUGGCAUGAACUUUGUCAAAAAAUGAAUUUCUAGCUAACUCCUCUUCCUAUUGAUCUUGAUUAGUUUCAGCUUGUUGAGAGUUCUCUUUUCUUUCUAGACCGUCUCCUGAAAGACCUGCUUAUCCCGCAUGUGCUUUCGGAGCCCCCACUCAUUCAAUCACUUGCUUGUGAUUGCAGCCAUUCCCCGAAAAAGGGAGAGACGAGGGAAUCGUCCGCUCCCGUUCAUGUGACGAAUCGAACAUCGUUAGGUCCCGAAUUCUGCGAACCACCGGACCUAGACCAAGAUCUCCAUUACGUCGUACGAUAUAUCGAUCCGAAGAACUUUCAGUUGUAAGUCAUCCAUUCUGCUCCUAUCUAAAGUGAUGCUAGGCUGCUUCACGCAGGUGCGCUUCGCUCGGCCACAUGAUGAACAUGUUUUAAGCUAAAUGUCGAGCGCUUAAGCGGAGCUUGUGGUCACUCGUUCCUCGCUUGUUCCAAUCCUAGUAAAGAGCUUCAGAUCCGAUUCUACACUACAUACGAUAUUUCCGGCCCUCACUAGCUCUUCGCUUGGUUGUACAAAGAGCAUGCCCGAGGGGGCUACUACGCUCACCGCGCACUUGCAUCACCACCUGAGCUUCGCUACCGCUUCGCCCAGCUCCUACGCCUACCACGAAUCUUGAAUCAUCACGUGGCUGCUAAAGCAAGCUAAGCUUCACACGGCCCUGAGGAAGCCAAAAGACAGACCCUCUCACGGCCGAAGGCUCCGCAACACGUUGGAGAACUUUUAGAUCCCGCCCUAAAACGCCCAUUUUCCUAGAGUUCCGAAGUGAUCCUCAUUCUCACCGCAGCCUUCUUAAGCCGAAAGAAAGCCGGGCAAGAAUCGCAUUGGUAGUACGAAGGGGGAGCAGAAUCGUAUCUGGCAGUGGUUCUUCGGAUCGAUCACAGAUUCUCGGCCCCGUCGUUUGGCUUCCACUCCAGUUGACCUCUCUUGUUCUCCCCCCCCUUACACAACCGGGUGGAGGACUCAUGUAAACUUAUUCCUUUAGGUCCCCGUUCAGGAAGGCAUUUUGAACAUCUAAUUGGAACAGAGGCCAAUCUCGAUUCGCAGCAAUAGAGAGCAGGAGACGAACAGACUUCAUCUUGGCUACCGGGGCAAAGGCUUCCUCGUAAUCUAUCCCAUAUGUUUGAGUAAAGCCUUUACUAGCCCUCCUUUCUCCCACAAAGCUUCCCUUCACAACCAGUCCCAUAUCCAAUUAGUAGAAUUCGAGAUGGGGAGAGUCAAAAUGAGACAAAUGCGCAUUUCCUAUCUGAAUCGAGAGGUAUCAGAUCGAAGUCACAUAAGUCAUGUAUUAUAAUGAAAGUGAUUUCCGGGAGAACAAAGUGGAUUUAUGAGCAAAUUCUGGCAUGAGAGGACCAAUGAGACAGAACACUGUUGGAUGCAUUCCUUCGCUAGCAGGGCUUCGGCCCAUCUCAAUGGAAGAGUCUUCGGUCAGUAAUCUCGUACUCUCGACCGGCUCGAACCACUACGUUAUCCAUGUUCCGGCUCAUUCGUAUGCUCAUCCUAUUCAUGUCACCAGAACCUGUAAUAAACCAUCAUUUCAAACCAUCCUGUUACAGGGAAUCUUUGGAUAUCAGUUCGAAGGGAGCCCCGAAAAAAGGGGGAAUUUGAUCAAACAAAGUAUGUGCAGUAUGUGAUCGGAGGAAGGAAUAGAAAUACCCCUAGUAAUCUUAAACAACAAGGACAAACACAAGGUACAGAGACAGAGAGAGAGGCGCGACAGCCGCAAGGCACUUUUGCUUUGCUUUGAUUUGAUUGUAUCGGGAGAUGGGCUUGCGUAUUAGUUGGGUUUGCUUCUACCGAGGCAAUGUUCCGGAAAUUAGGUUUAUCUAAGCAACCGGCUGAGCACGAGGUCCCACAUUGUCUCCAUCAGCGGCUAGGAAAAAGUCUUUGACUCUUCUUCUAGUUAACCACUUUAGACUAUUCCUACUAUUCAUAGUUCUCAAUCUUACUUUUCUCGUCCAAGUCUUUUUUUAUAGUAUUGUCUUAUUAAGUAUAUAAAGAAUAAAGUCAAGCUUUCGGGAAAGGAGUGAAUGAUUUGAAUACUUCUUCCUCUUUCCCUUCUUCUCAAGCUCUGACUCUGACUGGCGCAGAGAAAGUCUUUCUUACGGCCAGACGACUUAAACACAGCGCUCUGAUCUCCGACCUCCUAGGACCCAAGCAAAGGAUUGACUUCGCUAACCUCAGCUUAACCGAAGUCAAUAUUCUAACAGAACUAUAAAGGGCAUACCUUGAAUACAGAUCAAGAUUCACUCAUGCACUCUGGAACUUACUUAGGAAAGCUAGCCUUAGCCCAAAAAUAAAGGAAGGCAGCCGAAAGCCCUACAAAGAAUAUCGCUUAUGAACAGGCCCAGGGGUUGUCAGUUGAGAAGGAAGUCUUUAUUGAAUUGAUCAUAGAAAAAAAAGAGAGAAAUGGAAUCGGUUGUUUAAGUCGGAAGAUCAGAUGUUUUGAGCGGAGAAUCGGGUUCUGCUAAGCAGAAAAGCCUUCUCUAAUGGGUCGAUUCGAAAUUGGAAUGGAGUUUGAGGCUAGUGGAGCAAGCAUGAAUAAGAAAAGGAAAAAGCCAAAAUGAGUGGAAAGAAAUUCAAAGCUAAGCCACCACCACCGAAUAGAACCGACGAGUAAUAUCCUGUCCUUCCCUACCUACUGUAUUCAAGCGAACAAGUGUGUUAAGCGAAUCACUUUCCGCCAGUGGUACGCACUACAUGAAAUCAAUGCCCAGACCACUAUGUGCGUAAUCUAUAUAUCUAUCCUUAUUGAUUUCUUUCGCCUAUGGAGUUUUAGGGUAUUGCGAAGCUUCUCACUGGAAUAGACUCGAGAUUAAGCACAAGAGACGCUUGGGCCUAUUACAGACAGGCUCGCAAGCUUAACACGAUGAGAAGGUUCCCCACUUAACCCUAGUUUUCGGGUAGAGUAGUGGUCGCCAUGCGCCCAUCGGUUAUAGCCGCUCGCUAGUUGGGGGCAGGAGACAGCCUUUAAGAGAAAGAAGGUCUACUGGCCCGGUACGGUGUGGUUUUGUUGGAUUUCUCCGUCCGCGUACUUUCACUGGCCUUUUGAAUCGAUCCUGAAAGACUCCCCCAAAAAUAAAUAGAAGGUUAUCCGCUUCUCCGCUGUUUAAGCUCGAAAUCUGAACUUUCACAACCACCAACAGGAAGACAAGUCAGUCAGUAUGGGAUCAAAAAAAGUCUUUUUCUAGUCAAGUUCCAGCUCUAGAUAGGGAAGGACGACGAAAACGAGUUUACUUUGAGGUAAAAAAGCCGACGGUGCCUAAUCUCCUCGGAUAUCAUCGGCCAUCGUUCUCAUCGAUGCGAUGACCAGACAUGUCACACCAUCCCUCGCUGCCCUAACUCACCAAUCCCUAGCAUCUACCAAAGUGGUAUCCUCUCACGGAGGCUAGUAAGUAGGCUUUUCUCAUAUUUGUCACUCUCCACCCAGUCCUCCGAUGGAAGGGGUACUAUCCAAUUGUAAGUAGCUUGAUUACUGUCUGGCCUUUAUCCCUUGCUCAUAAAAAACGGAUAUGGGAAAGGUUGGUGAAAGUGUAAACUAGUGACCUCGAAAGAUAGGUGGGCCAUAUCCAGUCCAGAAUGCAUUAGACUAACUGCAUUGGUACCGAAACAUCUGAUCAGGCCGUCUGGGGUAUAUGAUAUGACAGGUCGUUGUACUAAUGAUCGGUAGGUGGGACUGAUACCUAACUCGGGUAUCUAUCCCUGUGGAGGGCCCCCAUUCAAUGAUCAGAUAUGUCCAUGGGAUUAGGUAUGAAAUGGGCCAUACCAACUUGUUGCUUGAACAAGUCCUAGUGGUAGGGCUCCUCAUAUGGUUAGCCUCCCUGACCCGUAGCGUAGAUUGUGGAAUGGGAUUGGGAAUCUAUUUUAGUAUUAACCGAAUUUAGGAGGGGGUUCCAAUUCAUAUCCGAGCGUUGGUGCACUUCCCAUCUGUUCCCGGGCUUUGACGUAAGGCCUGUAGACCGAGCCUCAUAUCCCUGACUUCAGAGUCCUACGGUCUUCUUUCUUCUCCCUAAUUCUCUGUGAGAACGAAUCUUAACCCUUGCUUGGUCUUUUUCUUCCUCCUGACUCUCACUUGGAAGCAAGAGAUGAAGACGUAAGCCUUUGGAGUCAUAAGUUGUAGAUCUUCAAUGGCUGAAUCCGUUGUUCAAAUAGCAGCUGCUUGGGCUUACCUUAUUACCUUAGUUCCUUAUAGCUUGAGAGAUGGGAAUUGAAUUAGACAAAAAAGAAAGAAUAGGCCGCUAAUUAGUUAUGCCCUGGGGGAAUGCCCCAAAGCCCCUAUGACUACUCCUUUCGAACUUCUAGCAAUAGCAAACUCGCCCCACAAAGUGGUCCAAUUCUUGUGUUUAAUGUGAAGCUUGGCUUAGGCAAAGCAAAGGGGAAACCAAUCCAAGAAGAACAAUCCGGAUGAGUGGCGAUUUGCGACCUUCUGCCUCCACUGCUUCCACUUCAACUUCUCCUACACUGAUUAGUCUAGUUUUGUUUGCCCCCGGAGAGUAUCACCGUGAAUUAUUAGUCAUAUAUAUCAGCCAGAGAAGCCUGUGACUCAUACACUAUCAACCAUAGUGUAUACCAGAAAGAAACUUCGUCUAACACCAGAUCUUGUUGAAGCUCAGCCAGGACCUGAAAGAGAUCAGUAAACCAACGCUUCUCCCUCUCCAGACUCAAGCCAUGAUCCAGUUCCAGACAACAUGCCUGAGGUAGGCCAUUAUUCCUCUCGUCCUGUUCAAGGCUUUGCUCAAGAAUAAAUAUUGGAUAGAUUUGGAGGAAACCUUAACUUCAGUUUGUGAAGAUUAGGACUUUACUGGCUAUUGCUGCAUCAAAGAAGUGGUCCCUAUACCAGUUAGAUGUUCAAAAUGCCUUCCUACACGGAGAAAACAUUGCAUUAGUAGGAUCCACCCCAUGUGAUCCGUCAUUCAGUGCAAUAAGAGGGCCCAUAGCAAUGAAUGUUUAAAUAAGAUUCACUUCGUUCUGUACGGGAUAAGGAGCGAAAAGCGCAGCAUGGCAAUCGGAGACAAGUCAAGUUCAGUAAGAAAUUGGAUAGAUAGAUUCGUGAGUAGUGUAAUCAUAAAAGCCCACGGAGCGGUACGAGACAGGCAAUGGAUAUUGUUCGGGGUAGGACUAUUCGAGGGGCAAGGCAAGGGAAGGCUAGAGCUGACAAGCGAAUACCUGCUUCCCGUGGCGAGCAUAAACCUUUGGCUCGUUGGUUCAUACUCAAUCUGACUUCUUCCGGAUCGACUUGAUGAACAAGAGCCAGCGGUCCAUUACCGUAGUCCCUGACCUUCUCAAGCCUUACCUUAACGUAACAGCACCCUCUGACCUUCACAAUAAAAACAGGGUUUAAUCAAAAAUACCGGGAAGUGUGAAAUAAAUUGAUUGAAAAAAGACUCGGUCAAUCGAAAACAGGUUUUAAUGAAAUUUCACAUAAGAGAGAAAACUCUUCCCAUUUUGAUUGCUGUCUUCCGAGUGAGAAACCAUUUUCAUUAUUUUACACAUAUAGAAGAAUAAACAAAAACAAAUUAAUUAGAAAUCAAUAUGAAUUGCGGCUCUCCAACUCGUCUAUACAUAUUAGGCUAUGAUCUGUGGCUCGCUCUUUCCUCUUCCGGUUCAAUAUAUCUUAUAGUAAGGAGUAGAUCCAGUUUUCCGGUUGGGGUUGGGUCUUGCCUUUCCCCAUGCAUUCAUAGCGUUCGUUGUUUUGUACAGCUCGGUCGAGCCUUAGACGGGGCGUGAACCUUAUAGAACCCCCUUAUAAAGCUCCAGGUUGUGGUGAUCCCUGCCUUCAUCCAUAAGAGAGAAGCGCAUCCGCCCCUCAUUCACUAAGGUAUCCAAAAUCCAGAAUCGCAUCUCUCAUGGCCAUGCGGUAGUAGCCGGACCUGAACCUAGCCUUGAGGCUGAUCGCAGGGCAUUCCUAAAUUUCCGCUAAUAAAGCGAAUCCCGUUCCAUAAGAUGAUGAUCGUACUCCUUCCUUUUCGACUACUCCUCUUCUCCUUUGGUCAGGCAAGUUAGAGGCUCCCUUCCGUUGUUGCCUGAUGGGAACGUUCUACCAGUGUUCCCGCUGCCUAUAUACCUAUCUAUAGUGUAGUGAUGGUGUAGCGCGUUAGGGAGAUCAGUCUCAUCCAUAUCAAUAACCAAUGUAUCUGCUAUGAGUGAAUCUACUCCGGCUCUGGGUGAAACAACCACUGCGAUUGCCUUUGACCAUACCUUUACCUAUGCCUAUAUUCAUAUCUUCCAGUAGCAGAUCCAGAGUGAGUAGUUGCUUCAGUAGAGCCGGUUGAUUCCGGCGAUUCUGUUGAUGAAAGCAGUCAAUGAAGAAAGACAUGGUUGAGUCAGUCGACCGAGCAGUAGAUUCUGUCGAUUCAGCAAAAGUAGAUCUAGAACCAGCUUCCCCACCACUACCUCCACCAGCAGCAUAAGGCCUAGUUCCAAAUCCUCUAGCAGCAAAGGUAGUAGAGCAGCUGCACUACCUAAAGUAGCAAAGCAAGUAGCGGCAGUGGAAGUCACAGUAGUUGUAGCAGAGUAAGCUAGAGCCAGAAGCUUCCCACCUACUACCAUCUUGCUUAGAUAGAGAGCCAGUUCUCGUCAUCCAUUUAUAUAGGCGCCACCUUGCCUAGCAUCUCUUACAGUUCGUAUAGCAGCAUACCUUCCAUUUCGAGAUCCAGAGCAUCCACUUUCAAUUCGGAGAACCAUUUCGUGAGCCAUAGCCCGUAGAUAAAGGGAGGCUGUUCCUUAGGGUGGGUUGGGAAAAAUCCAGGCAAUGUUGAAUUGAGAAAGAAAUGAAAAGGGGAUUUUUUUCUUUCGAUUUUUUUGUCCUUUCUUUUUCGACUAUCUACUCUCCCCGGCUAAGCCGGCAAGAGAGAGUGAGGAGGUCGUUACGUGAGCGUUACAUGACCGCUAACAUUCCAUUUCUUAUGGAAGGAGAAGGGAACGCCCUAUUAGUAUAGUAAGCAUAUCGAGGCGCAGGUAGGAAGCACAUCUGGCCAUUUGAAAUGCAUUUUUCUUAAAGCAAGAAAGAAGACAGGACAGACAGACUCAAGACAGACUUGAUCAAUCAAGUCAGCAAACUCAAAGCAUGAGUUCUACCCUUUGAUCGCUAAUCCAGUCUCUACUGGUCUGGCUACUAAAGAAAUAGUGUAGAUAGUGGCGUUUUGCUCCAUCCCCUAGACGGCGAAGCUGCUCCGCUCCUUUCUUCUUUUUUUCUGUCUCUGAAGUGAGUGAAGUAAAGUAAUAGCCCCCACUACUCUCAUUGCCUAAAGCCUCAAGUUGGAGCUUUCCCCGGUAACAAGAGUAGAAAGUGGUUCUUACCUCCCCCGAUGAUCUAGCUUGUCGGUCUGUGUCCUUUGGCCCCCUAUCUCUAAUCUAAAGGGGCGUAAGCACUAGCUGCCCUAAGAAGCAGGUCCCACUCCGUCCAAAGCUUGCAGCUAGCUCUUUUUCACUUUAGAAUAAUACCUUUGGAUAAAUCCAAUUCUUGCUUGCUGGACUAUUGUGGUCUCACUAAAUACCAUACUCUUUUCUUUUAAAAUCUUCGUAGGCAGGGACUCUCGCCGCGACCCGGAUAAUGCUUCCUUUUUGACGAUGCCGGAUCGAUGCCAAUGCCCACCUCUUUGGGGAGCCAACGAGUCCACCCAAAUUCUGUACUGAUUCGCUCGCUUUGUCCACCUUCGCCUCUUCAAGUUGGCUCCUUCUCGAAAUGACUAAAGUCUGACCAAGACUGGUCCUUCGUAGUUCUUUCGCCUUAUCAGGCUCGUAGAUGGCUCUUGGAACUAGUGGUUAACCAUUUCUACGCGAGACCAUCGUUUAUUAAGAAUGAGGCUUUUCCUGGGCUCGUACGAAAGUCUCUGUGAGUAGUUCCCCCGGCUAGACCAGUGCCAAUAGUUAGAGUUUAUACUCCUUUUUCAGGCCUUCGCCUUAGUCCAAAGGUAUGAUUAUGUAAAGAAAAGAAUUCGUUACAAAUAAGGUCAAGCUAGCUGGCUCAUAACCUUGAGAGGGAUCAAAUCCUAUUUCGGGAGCUGCCUUUACACCGGUAUUCAAAUAAGCUGCUGCAAAGAAUGAGAAGUGGGUCUCGCUCUCCUAAUCAGUCGUUAGCUUAUCCAUCUCUCUUUUUAUCCGGGCUUCUUCCGCUUUAGCUGAGGCCGAUGCCCCUAUCUUUCUUCUGAUCCGCCCCUAAACAAUAGCAAUAGCACGAAUCCUAAGCUACGGCACGCGAAGGAAUGGUUCCAUGAAUCAUGGGUGGAGGCGACAGGGGGAUUGGCUGGCUUACUAUGGGGAAGGGGAGAAUCACUAAAAAAAGUCUAGAGCUCCCCUAGGGAAAGUAUUCUACCUCGUUGGACCGUAUUCGCUACUAAAACGUAGCCCUCCUCCGCCUUCGUUUGAGGAAGCAGGUAUUCGCCUACGAGGUCUUCACAUAACAUAAUAGGUUGCAAAAAUCCUUAUUAGGAAGAAGACUUGGACAAAUCCCCGGUAGAAUUAGCUAGCAAGGCUAGGCACCUAAUGCAUGUGAGGGUAAAGGAAGUCUCUUUGGCACGUAUGAGUAGCAGAGCGGAGUAACGGGGCAAAACGAUUCGACAGUGGAUGCCGCUUGAACUAAAGGACUGAGCAAUGAAAAAGGCAUUUAGGCCCGAGGUCAAAUCUCAUCUUAGUCAGAUCAUAAGAUAUCCCACGAGAAGAUGUUCUCGAAUAGGCAGGCUGUGAGGCAACUAUGGAAUCCGCCUUCCCUGAUUCCGAUGCUGUUGAGCGGCGGCUGGUAGUGAAAGGAACUGACGAUCUUGGCUUAGAUGGCUUUGCUCCUGGGGAACAUCAUUUAUCGAUAGUCAAGGUACCCGAAGUUUCAUGAGCAGACCAUUAUAAACAUUCGCCGGAAAGAUCCGAGUAUAAGGAAAAAAUUACCUGAAUAUAUGAGUCAGAGUAUAAUGCCUAAUAUUUUAUACUACUUCUCUUUUUACGGCCUGUGAUACCGGAGCCUCAACAUCCCUUGGCCUAAAGAGGAUUGCAGACCAUAGGUUGUUUCAGGCAAAUCUCAGCCACAUCAAUUUAAAAGUUUGGGUCACGAUAGUCAGUGUCUUGGGAAGAAAGAAGCCUUCCUUUGCUUGCUUUGGGCCUCUUCCUUAAGCAGCCAUUCAUAUCGUGUGGCCCCUUCGGAGAGGUCAUAGAGAUCAAGGAAAACCUCCCCCACAAACUUUGCUACGCCCUUAACUCUUGAACUACUUGAACAAGGAAGGCGGGGGCGCGUCUGGUGCUAUCAUAUAUAAGGGAAAGGUUCCUUUAGUGAUCUAUGCCUUAUAUAUGCCUUCCUCACUCCUAAAAGGAAAAGACCUAGCCUAAUCAGACAAUAACAUAGUAUAUUUACUUUUUAGCGUUCCUACACAAAUUUAUGUACUUUCUAUAACUUAUAACAAGGCACACCAUUUAACUUACCGUUACCGUGUAAUACAAUACAGUAGUAAAUAGCUUGUGAUUCGGAGUUGUCGACCCGUCAUUUCCAGUCGAGUCAAGCAUCUCCCUCUUCAUCGCAGUCGCUCAAGACGUUGUAUCGAUGGAGUGAGAUCAGGGCUUCUCCCUCUACCCGAGCGAGGGAUCAGUAAGCAACCGGGCGAACCACAUCUGUUCCAAUUCCAGAGGCUUUCUCCGAUCGAAGUCGGAUCCAAUGGCCAAUCUUCGAUUCCUCCCCGGAAUCGGUUUUUUGCUCGGGCUGUAAGGCGAUGGUUCGAAGAUUUCGAUGCCCGGUCAAUGAAGCGAGAUUGGGAAUGAGCAGCUAACCAAUCUCAUUUAUAAGAUCAGUCCAGCGGUUCAAUUCAUUGAUUCAUCUAUCUAUCGGAUUAGUAACCCACCCCGAUGAAUCUUUUGUAUCGAACGAAAGCCUCAUAUAUAUUAUAUCCCCCUACCGGAAGCGAAGCUUCUGGCUCCCCCUUUGUUGUUGAAUUUCCAAUUCCUUCUUUUCGUUCUACUUAGGUGGAGCAAUCCGAACUCUCGACAGAAUAUAAAAGAGCGUCUUCGAACCUGUGUAGACACCUCAACGAACUCAUGUGGACACUCCUCAGCCCGAGCCGAGGACAAUCUCUCUAAAAUACACAUUAAGAUGUUGACCCGUUUUUCUUUUCUUUGCUGAUUCCUCUCAAUUAAAUUUCCCAUGUUGCACUAAGUUACUUACGUAUGUAUGCAUGCGGUCCGGGAACACUUUGGGGUGAACACCCAUCCGAACAAGUAGGGUCAAUAGUUCAGCAUUUAGGCCGUAACAUUUAGCAACAAAAAAAUCUUUAACCCAACAAGUGCUCUCCGAACCAAGCUAGAUAGUCUCCUAUCACUAGGCUCACCAACCAACCUGGACUUUGAUUCUGAUUAUUCCUACCAAACCAUAAGGAUUGUUUCCAGCCAUGAGUUCCCAUAUUACAUAAGCGCUCUUGGGUGGGCCAUUCCAUCAAAUCUUUGAGAAGGGGCCCAAUCUCGUAUUUGAUGGUCGGCGUGGCGAUAGGCUUCGCUUCUACGACUGCCUCCCCAGCCGUUGCAAAGACUGAGCGAGAACGGUAAGGGGCGAAGAAUGUCGUUGCGCGGGGAUGCGAUUAGCCAAGCUGGGGCAAACAAAGCCGUCCGGCCCCCUACCGGAUUGGGAAUGCGAAGGCCUUUCCUUCGAAAGGAGACCGGGGAAAUAAAGAGCUAUGCUAUUGACCGACCCUUUCGUAGUGACUUCGAAUCAAUAGUCCUAUACUUUUUUCUCAUUUUGUUUGAGGCGGGCCGAAUAGAGAAUGAAAUGAAGAAAUACGGGAAGAGUUCCAAACCUUUUUUUUGGUUUAAGGGCUGCUCGCCCUACCGAAGUACUAAAGGCUUUCGAGGCUUACACCUCCCUAUUACACGACAAAAAGGUAGCUUGCUGUAGCGCCCUUAGAAGAAAUCUAAGCCUUUUGAAGCGCCAGUAGUGGUAGCUGUGGGUAGGGCUUUCGUUCUUAUCGCUCCGGGUUUCUAUCUAUAUGACCUCCGGGCGGUACAAAGUACACCUCUUCCGUAGAGGCAGGUAGUAACCUAACCUUUAAGAGUUCAAGGGGGGAGCCCUCUUAUCUAUCAAUGGAAAGAUCUCCGUGCGUGGCGUGAUAAGGAAUCCUAGAAAAGAUCGAUUGAGACUCCCUCCCCGGUCCCACGAAGAUCUCUACGUACUUGUCCAGUCCAGGACAACUGAGAUCUUCCGGUCUGCGUGCGUGGGAGCAGCUCAAAUAAAGAAGAGUCUGGUCUGAAUUCAGGCCCGGCCCGCCCGUCUGCUGCUAGAUCCGGGAAUGGCGCCAGGCGAGGGCGCCGCUAUGCCCCGCAGCUCUGCAGCGGCCGGCCCCCGGACUAUGCAAAAGAAUCGAGGCCGGGGGGUCUCGCCCAUAGUGGUUCCCCCCCGCCUUUGGUGAUUGACCAAACAAAGAGGCCUAGAUCUAUGCCCCUUAAUGAAUCGAAUGGUCCUUCGACCCCUUCAUUUGAUUCCGACGGCCGGCAUAGAUCUCAUGAGACCCGCCCACUAUUACUACGAAAAAAGCCCUGCCUUUUUCCUUCGCUACUAGGAGAGUAAGCAACUUCUAUUAGCGCCGGACCUUGAGUCGAAUUGAUCGUGUCAUGUGCAACGUCCAUCAAUGAUGGUUCAUUAAUGUCCAUUGAUUUAGACUCCUUCCCCCUUCCCAACUACGAAUAAGAUCGAGAGGAGCCCGAAAGCCCCAAAAAACCAAGAACGAAAACGGAAGCCUUUCGAUUCACUCCCCAUUCUCUCUUAAAUAAAGCUCGCCCUCGAGCCCUGGGCAGGUCGGCCGGGUCUUUCCCUGUUGUUCUGUUCCCGCCACGAGAAAGACGCACAGAAGAGGUAUGCCCAGCGCGCGGAGGAUCCGUUGAGAGUGUCUGUUGUCUCGGUAGGGAACUUUACGAUCUUUUCCCCUAUUGUAUUGAAUCAAUAAAAAAAAAGAGGUCAGUGCUACCUACGGCCCUCUAUUGUUUGAUCCAAUAUUGACCGGGGACGAGCCCCUACUUCCAUAGGUCCUUGGUUUGACCUCCCGUAGUGGUCCUUGCUUUUAAUAAAGCGGAGCGGGGCCAAUUUCUCGUACUUGCUCAGCGGUCAGCCCCCUUUCGAAUUACGUUAGGGGGGGGUCUUUCGCUUUUGCCAGAUCUAGAGAGAUACUACGAGUCCUCCGUCCCAGAUUCCAUCGCCGCGGCCAUCUGGUUCACCGGUACUACCAAAAAGUCUCAUGCUUACGUUACUACUGUUACGGAUGGUUUGAUUAUCUUGGACCCCGGUCGGUCGUGCUUCUGGUUUCCAUUCCCAUCAUCAUAUUGAUGAUAAAUCUCCUCGCGCUCUGCCAUAAGAACUUGGAGUCCGUAUCAUGGUGAAGGUAAGGUAACGCUGUGAUUCUUGCUCAAAAAACAGACCGAACGCGUUCGAGUUAUUGGCUCGUCCAACCCGGCAGCAUUCAUGAGUCGCUCGUUCAACUGUCCCUCGGAGACACGGUCGAGAAGUACCAUGCAUGGUUGCCCCCCGUCCUUUCUUGCUCUCGGUCCCACCCAGCAAGAUAAGGCUCAGCCAAAAAACGUGAGCGCCCCUGCGCGAGCCUUAUUUAUUUUCUUAGUAAAGUCAAGCUUUGGCUCCCUAAAGACUAAAGAAAGAUAUGGAUAAAAAAAAGGGGGGACUUCUGCAACGGGCUAUACCACCCAAACCAACUGAGGGAAGUCGCAUCCGCCCCAUCGCAAGCACCUACAAUGUCAUGAUCACAUUGGUUUACCCUUUUUUCUUUGGUAGUUCAACGGACGGUCGCCCCUCCAACAAGAAAAGGUAUAAAUAUGGAAACUUCUCUGCCAUUUGGAUCGGAGAAUUUAUGGAGGAAAUCGGCUUUUAAAUUUCCAGAAACCACACGAUUAUAUAGCCAAAGGGAAUACGCCGCGCCUAAAAUCAUCCCAAGCGCUGCUAAUGUGGCUACUAAGCUAUUUCUUUGGAAAGCUCCUACUGAGAUGGGAAAUUCCCCGAUAAAGCUGCUAGUACCAGGUGAACUCAUAUUGGCCAAAGUGGAAGAGAAGGAAAUGGUAGAGAGAUUCGGCAUGGUGCUCACUAACCCUCCGUAAUAUCUAACAAGUCGAGUCUUAUGUCGGUCAUAUAGAACACCAACACAUAGAAAAAGGGCUGAAGGAACCAGUCCAUGACUUAACAUCGGUGGAAUGCUACCUCCAAUUCCCUGUAUGUUCGAUAGAGCCAAAGAUUCCCCCCCACUGAUCGGAGUACGCCGAUUACCCCCCGAACCGUACAAGAUAGUUACCGCCUAUCAUACGGCUUUCUAACUUCACUUUUUUUUCUGGUCGUUCCGCUCUGUCGAUCGAUGGUAGUAUAAGAGAUCUGAUCUGUAACCCCCUACAUUUUUUACAUAAAGGUUCCUGCUUUCUACCCAUAGUUAGCAUGUAUCUCCCCGGGUCAUACUUUUGAGUAUCACAUCGUAGACCCCCACCCCAACUCUAUCUUCCUUAGAAGUGAACCGGAAAUAGUGCAUAGGUACUUUUCAAUGCUGCGGGGACGAGACGACGUGACAUACUACGAUCACGUACAGAAGUGCUGCCCUUCAGCUCGGCAAUAUGGAACCUCUCAACAGCUCCCGUUCCUUUAUGAGGUCCUAUCGGGAUAGGUAGGCCCAGCCCAAGCCUUUCCCCUCCCCCCUGCUUAGCGUUCCACUUGUGAUCCUGGAUGCAGUGGAGGAUUGAAAAAAAAGCGCCCGAAUGUUCCCCCUCCCUCCAUAAGACCCUCUUUCUCUUUCCCCCUCGAGAAAGAGAAAGAAGAGAAGAAAGGAUUUAUUAUCUUCUUUCAUGUGAACGGCCCUAUCUUGUAUCGAAAGGUUUUUCGUGCUAUACACCACGUUGAGAAAGACCAGCCUCCGUAGUACCGUACCUUUUUUUUACCCCGAAAGGGAGGUCCUCCUUAUGAUGCUACGGACGGCUGUCCGAAGUGCAAGGGGUAAACUCGGACGAGGAUAGGAUUGCGCGCGCCGGGCCCUCCCUUCGGGUGUCAUAUUUUGGCCGAGUUUACCGUACCUCCGGCCCUUAUGUUACGCGACCGUAAUCUUUUUUUACGUUCCACCGCUGUUACGCCAGAAAUAAAAGGUUCCACACGAGCUCCCGUUCUGCGGCGUGGUGGCAGGACCGAUAGGAGAUUGGCUCCGGGUGUAGAUAGGGUAAAAUCCGCAGGAGUCAUGCAAAUACAUAGGCCCCUUCCCCUCUCUUUUAGAUGAAUGGGGUGGUUUUAUAACGUUCCGAUCUACGGUCCCUCGGAGCGAGGGGUUAGGCAGGUAGUAUGGGCCCUCUGACUUCCAGCUAUGUGUUGUGCGGCUCCCGCGAAGCGAAUGAAGGGAAGCUCGAAGAGCUUACGCUUACUCUCAGCCUCUUUGAUUGGUAGGCGGGCGGGCCCCCUACUUAAGAUUCCAUUCAUAAGGGUCAUUUUCUGUUGUCGUGACGCUUUGGUUAGGCCGACUACUAGACUACUAGAGGUUACUUCUAGCUUCUAUAGGGGCCUUUCCACUUUGGUGUAGUUUUCGUUUGUAUUGGUACUGAAUGAACAUAUCAAACAAAGGCGAGCAGUAUAAGCCCUUCUCCGGCCUGGGAAAAGCAGCGAACUCUAGAAGCUAGGGCGUUGUUCACCUUUGGACACGAACACUAUUCCGUUCUCAGCGUAAACCCGCCUUAGAGAUUGAACGGCAAUAAGAUAAGUCGACGUUCAAUCUAAGACAGCGCUGAUAGCUUGUAGUGAACAGCCCCCUUAUUUACCAUUUACCAACCGAAAGCAGCCUUUGGUACUUUACUUAAGUAGUUCAGGUUUGGAACCCUUGCAACUAUGAUAGAAAGCCGUUUGCUUGUUGCCAAACCCUUCGCCUUUCUUUUGUUUUGAAUCAAAGUAGGUCGCGACUGUUGUAUUUUUGUUUAGUAGGUCGGGGGAAGCUACCGCUUAUACGACAGCUCUGCUUCCUCGUCUUGCUUCUGGCAAAGCUUCGACUUUGCUUGCUUCUCUCGCGCUUGCUUGCGCGAAGGCUUAUAAAGUCCUUUUCGCUAGGUCCAAAAGCUUCCGUCAAAGCGAAAGAUCUGAUCCAACUGAAAUCCCGCAUAUCCGCUGCGCUCAAUAUGCGGCUACGGCUAGGCGAUCAUAUCGUGCCAUAAAACUCUUUUUUAUGUAUAGAGAGAUCCCCUAGAUAUACAGAUAGAAUAGAUGUUCAUGGAUAGACAGACAUUCCAUUGAUUCUUAGUUUUGGGGCUGAAAAAGCUCGUCGAUCCAAAUGAAUCAUUCUUGUGGUCUCUCUUCGCCCCCCGCCCCGAAACUGACCCACAGCACAGCGCCCAUUCGCUUCGCGCGCGGGAAGGCAACGAAGUUCAGUUCAUGAGACCGCGGCGGAGUGGAGCAGCCGCGACACGAAGUUCCUUACCUUAGCUGGAUAUCGCUGGUGCCACCUAAACGGUAAGUAGGCGACGGAUGUGUGACGUUUGGAGUUGUCGUUCGUGCACCUGUCCCCAAUGGAAGAAUGAGUGAUCCGUUCCCCUGCGGAUCAUGGCCUUACCACUCGGUCCCCGAUGGCCAGCGGGGGAUUCGGUAUAGCAGCUUACGUUUUUUUGCGCUGCGCGUUCCCGCUGGACUGGACACGUGUUAGCUUUAGGAAGUAUGGUUCCGAAAGUGACUUCGGUUCGCCAGUUCAGGCUCAACUCCUCGCUUUACGUUAGCGGACCUACACUACAGGUCGGGCCGGGGCUCUGCGCUCUUUCUUUCUGUGUGGGACGAUGCCGGGGAGAGAAGGGAAUGCGUCGAGGCGGCGAACAACAACAACACAACUACAUUUUGGCUUUUCCCUCCAUCCAUGAGAUGAGCCCAGUGCAUUGGACCGAUGGAUAAGAGAACUGAGCUGGCCUAAAGCUUGGGCACUCUACGUACGAUGUAGACUCCAUCAGAUACAUAUCGAUUUCUUUCUGAUGGAUCAAGAAUAGUUGUCUUAUCAAUAGAUAGAAAUAGGAGAUUUCCCCUUAUUCUUGAUGGAUUCCCUCUAUUUCAUAGAUACUCUUUCGAUCUAUCAGAACGGAUCAGGCUAUCUAUCAAUCGAUUUGAAAAUAGCACGUUCAUCUCGCUUUUCGUUCAUUUCCGCCACGCCAACAUAGCCACAAUAAUAAGAAGCAAGCAGGCGAAGCAGCUAGAAGCGCUCGCUUCUAGCCCUUGAAUUCUUAUUCACGAAUGAAUUGGGAAAGCCAACACAAAGAUUCGAUUCUGACUUCGUAGAGCCGGUGCUGCUGUUGCCUGCGCGUAGGGUGUCCCCCACCCCCGUCCCGGGGCGCUAAGGGGCUUUUGUUUUUGGAACAGACGGCAAUGUUUUGCUGACGCCUUGAAUCAAGUGUUGCGACAUGCUAUGUUUUCUCCCCCAUUGCUAGUAGGUUGAUGGGUCGCACGCCCGGCACACAUGUUUUGGCCUUGUCUUGUGUGUCCAUAACUAAAAAUAGGUGACCUAACGGCCGCCGCCCGACUAAACAUACCAAUAGUCACCAGAUUCAUAUGGGCUACUGAGGAGUAAGCAAUGAUCUUCUUAAGAUCGAUCUGUCUUGAAGUGGUCAAGGAAGUAUAUAUUAUAGCAAUCGCGCUUGGAGUAUAAAUGAAAGGAGUGGAACAAAGUGUUGCUUCGGGAAACAUGGGUAUUGAAAAUCUUAAAAACCCGUGGGUUCCCAAUUUUGAAGGAAUUCCUGCCAAGAUGACGGAUCCUGCCGUAGGUGCCUCUACAUGAGCUUCGGGUAACCAAAUAUGAACAGGUACCAUAGGCACUUUGACGGCGAAAGCGGCGAAAGAAGCAAUCCAUAGAAAGAUUUGGCGCCGCUCACUAAAUUCUGUGGUUAAUGAUAUUUGUAAAUCGGCGGUCCCUGUUUGGAAAAGAAUCAACAGAAUAGCUAAUAGCAUAAAAACAGAUCCAAGUAAAGUAUAAAGGAAAAACUGAUAUGCUGCCUUGAUCUUUCUUUGUCUCGAACCCCAUACCCCUAUAAUAAUGGUAGAGUAAGGGGUGGCCCCAAAGCGGAAUUUACCGGUGGUGGUUAGUCGAAGCUCCAGUAGGUAGCCACUCCCUUCUCAGGGAACCGUACGUGAGACUUCCGCAUCAUACGGCUCCGUCCCGAGCUUCCGUCGUCGGCCCUUGUCAUUAGACCACUAUCUAUGCAUGUAUAUUAAGCCUGGACUCUCGAAUCUUUUGCUUCUCGGGUGGUGGCGAACAAUGCAGCUUGCGUUGCGGGAGAUGCCCGCCGGCCCGCUUCUCGCCCGAAAGAACCGCUCACUAGCUAGCCGGACUAGUGGGGGGCCCUAUCUGGAGACAGACUGAAAACCAUGCCUUUCGAACCGAACGCAACGCCCGUCUUCCAAAUCCAAAACAAAAAAGGGCUCGUUGGGAAGAAAGAUGGAGUGCGGCCUGUAGAGCACAUGUAACGCACAGUCGGUUGCUCACGCAGUGGAUCUCUCUCUAGAUAUCUAGAGAGAGAGAUGUGAAAGUAAUAGCCUUUUUUUUGAUGGCCGCCCCCCGACUUACGGCUUUACGCUACUACUACUGUGAUGUGAGCGGUUCCAAUUGGUUUUUGUUUCCCAAUUCUCCUGGCCGGAACUUGUAUGCAGCACUUAUACGAAGGUGCAUGCAUAAAGGUUUGGAACUCUUUUCUUAUCUUAAUCUUAAAGACAGGACCCUACCCUAUUCUCGAACCCUCUACCGAGCUUAACCCUGCCCGCAUUUCUUUUUUUGAAGGGGGGCAAAGAAAUGUCUCCACCUGCUGCCAACAGUCUUUCUUCGGAAUUCUACUGAACGGGUCGAUCCUCCCCUCCCGUUUGUUUUAGCAACUUAUCCUAAGGUCUCCUCACCAAGAGCUCCCCGGCGACGACAGAGGAAGCAACCCGCCUGCUGUGGCGGGGCAGCUUUUUUUUUCACAAUAAGACCUGGACGAUUAUCCCUACCCUCGGUAGCUUACGAGUUUACGUCCAUCCCUGGUUGGGUACAGUUUCCUUUCGAUUUCUCCCUUGUAGCCGUUACCCGAAUUCGCGCAAGUGUGUCCACACCCCCCAAACUGACUUGACGAGGAAUCCAUUCUCGCGAACAAACACAACCCCUACACACACCUAGGAGCACCCCUUCCUGCAUAUCCAUACAAGACCCGAGUAGGCGGGUCGAGGUCCUACGAGGUACCCACUACUCGGAGUACCCUCCCCAAAAAAGAUGUGUCUGUCAGGUUCGGUUCGUCUUAGUUGGGUUGGGCGGGUUCGACCAGAAAUGCUAUGCUUACGCACAAGACUACCCCUCUUCCCGAAAGCUUCGCGGGGACUACUUUACGACGGACGACCGCCCGUAGGGGGUUUACUGCACAAGGCCCCUGCAGAGGAAAAGCUUUAUCCCAGCGAAUAGAAGAUGCUCAGCUCCGCACAACAUAGGGAUUAGCACGCUUUCGGGAAGAACAUAGAAUAGUAGAGGAUCCAGCAUGCGGAACACGGCGAUCAUUAGAAAUUCACGAAUUAGAGAUGCUGUAAUAUACUCUUUCCCAUAACUUCUCAUACCAGACCAACCCACUAAAAUACAAAUAGGGAUCAGAAAUGUGGUCAAUAUCACGAAGAAAAAAGAGAGACCGUCUAUACCCAAAUUCAAAUUGAUGUUUUCAUAAGGAAGCCAUCGAAGGCUUUCCACAAAUUGAGAUUUGGCCGUAGAAGGAUCGAAUUGUAUCCGAGGAACAGGGGAAUACAAAAAAGUAAUAAGAGAGGCACACAGACCAAUCAAUCGUAUCGGUCGUAUUCUUGAAUUUGGAAUGAAAAGAGGAAUAAUGCUUCCUAGCACGGGACACAGAAUAGGACCACUUAGAUCAGAAUAGCAUUCACAGAAAUGUUCUAACAUAGAGUAGAAUCGAACAUGGAAGAGAUUAGUUGACAACAGUAAAAAGAUGGGCGCCUAAUUCCAAUACAAUAGGGGUCUAUCAGUGCAAGUCAGCUGAACACCGUGAUUGAUGAGUGGGUAGGUGGGUUAGGUGCGCCUCUCGUCCAGUGGGAAGUAUUGAGGCGAGUCUCCUCCCCCCUUCCUUUUUCUACUUUUCUUCUCUCCUUUUGCUUGUGCUUCUACCCGGGCUUUUCAUUUUUAUAGAUUUCUAGAGACCCGAGGAAAUUUUUAUAAGAUUAAUUGCUCGAUUUUGCAUGCUCUGCUCCCAAAAUGAAGAGAGACUUUCGAGGGCAGAUCCGGGUUGGUCCGGAAAGUCAUGGGAGAGGCGGGCUAAGUGAAAGAAAAAAAAGAUAAAUGGAGCUAUGUCGACUUACGUACGUCUCGUUGACCAAACGAUCAGGUAUACCACGCCACGUAUCAUCCCCUCUUUCUAUAGAGGAGAGAUAAAGAAAAAGAAAAGAUAUAGCGAUCGUGCCGUAAGACCUUGUUCCUUUCUACUUGACGUUAUUUUCCUCGGUUUUUUUACAUUACAUAAGGCCUUUAGUUUAGGGCUUACUUAGCGCUUGCGCUAAGGAUCUAAUCAGAGUCAAACUUGGAUUUGAAAAAAAACCUUUCCCUUAUUAGCCGGAAUACAAACAAGUGUACUCCUUGAUCUUUAGUAAAGGCGGAUUAAGCCAAAAAAAAUCUUUUUUUUUCAAAAAGUCUCAACGUCCUCGUUGAGAGUCGCUCUGCGAGACGUCCAGUAGUCUCUGACUUGGUCUUAGAAUCGUCAGUUUCAGCCCGUUCCCAGCUUGCCUCGCUCUCAGGUUGGCCCUUCUACUUGACUAAGUAGUAUUCUACUCGUGCAGUAGGUGUAUGGGCUAGCCCAUGGUGCGGUCAGCUAUGAUAUAUAUACUCUUUUUCUUUCUUAGUAAGUUAAUCUACAACAUCUGGUGGUGCCCUCGUGGGCUGGGCACGUUCCUCUCUGGGUCGGUCUGGUCUAAUCGAAGUCAACUGACUCACAUGGAAUACGGGGUGAGUUUUAACCGAGCUGAUCGCUUGAGUCUAUAGGCUACCUCUCCUAUCCGCUUCUCUACAAGGUCUACUUUCUUCUUCCUUCAGACCGGGCCAAGCCUUUAGUUUAAGUAGGUUUGGGCUAGGUCGUUGCGCUCCUGCCACGUCUUGGCAAAAAAGUAGGCUGAUGGGCAAGCCUCCUCCUGCCGCAAUGGUGUGGGGCGUCAGAGGCUGUUGCCCCGUGGCCAACUCGAAGGGGCUGAAGUUCGACGCAGAGCUUUUUGGUUGUUAAUUUAUAGCAGCACUGAGCUACAUCCAACAGCUCCAGUCCUUCUGGUUGGUUUGCACUAAAGUGCCUUAAGUAGCCCUCGAGGAGUCCGUUUAUCUCCGUCUGAGCUUUCAAAGAUAUACCGACCGUAGGUAUCUUACUUACCAUCAGAUACCGACAGUCGUCUUCUAACAUUACCGAUCUUUAAAUAUCGGGUUUUCAUCAUCAGAAACAACCCGAUUUCCGAGACCUCUUGCAUUGCAUUACCAUAACGAAAAAAAAGAGAGAAAUGGCUCUUGUGACUCGGAAUGAACCUUUCUCGGUGGAAGAAAGGAAUAGCGAUGGAUUCCUAUGAAGCAUUCAGGAACAAGAAGAUUCAAUCGGACGACGAAUUCUUACGUGGUCCAAGGAAAUCAAUAAAAGGUCCGCUUCCACGAUUUCAUCUAUAUCGAAUCUGAAUAUCAGAAUAGCUUAUAUAGUCAUGAUUCAAUUCAGGUCCACUGACUUUUGAUUGAUUUCUCUUCGGAUCUGAUUGGAACAUUGGAGAAGUAGGAAGACUUUGGCGGGCGAUUCAUAAUGGGUAUCUAGAAUAUCUAUGUCCUAGGACAUAAAAUAUGAAUAAUGAAGAGAAAUGAAAUAUAUAUCUAAUAUAAGAAUUUUUAGGCUUUAUACCUUAUUUCUUUUCCUGGGAUUGUAGUUCAAUCGGUCAGAGCACCGCCCUGUCAAGGCGGAAGCUGCGGGUUCGAGCCCCGUCAGUCCCGACCUAGGAUCCGAUGAAUCGAUCAAUUCAUCUCUGUAGGGGGGCUUAGGAUCUAAUUCCCAGCAGGAGGAUCCUUCUUUCGUUUCGCAUUUCUCAUCGGACAAAUCAAGGAAUCAAAAUGACAAUAACUAGUACCGAUUGAUGGAGGAGAGACAUAUGUAGGUUGGUACAAUCGGGGGUAUCACCAUAUUAAGCAUAUUAAGUAAGGAUUCAAAGAGAUACCGUACAGGUCUGGCUUUUUUCGAUUGUUCCUGGCCCAUCGAAUAGAGUAGCAAUUUCUUUCCCGGGAGCACAUAACAUUUUCUUUUUUUUUACGAUACGCAAUUAACUUAACAUAGUUACCCCCACAGAGUACUUUUCAGAUUCAACCUACCCUUUCUUUCUAGCUCCUAUUUUUUUUCUUCGCUACACCUAUUCUUUCUUCUUCCAAUCAAUUCGAAAAAAUCCAACGUCAACUGCUCUACUCUAAUUCAUAGGUUUUUUUAUUGUAUUGAUCCCGGGAUCUAUCGAAACAAUUGUAUGGGCAUAUAAAAAAAAAAGCAACCAAGUCAUCCCUUAGCACAAGCACUAAGUAAGCAAGCUACCUUUUUUUUCUACUUUUUUUCUAUAAGAAAAAAUCACCCAUCAAAUAUUGAAUGACUGAGCACUCAAAUCCUAUCGCGAGUCUUGAUACAUAGUAUCUUAAGUCCUUUCCACAACUCCUAAUUUGAUUCUCCAUCGGCCCAUCCAAUCUAAUUCACGACUCAGUCAGUAGACACUACACUAGUAGGGUAGUAAGUUAUGUAAUUAGGAAUUUGAAAACCAAAAAGCCCUUCUUGGAUCCUAGGAGCAAGGAUUUACAGUCCUUUAGAACAACCUUUUGAUCCCAAGAUUUCCGGCCCCUUACUUUCGUAUUUUUGAAUCUCACAAUUGAAUCUUACUACCCAAGUCGAUCCUAUUGGCAACGGGCAAACGACGCUUACGCGGGAUCUCGGUGCCCUUCUCUUGCUCUUGAAAGAAUAGAAGUUGAGUUCGAGUUGUUAUCAUGCCGGAUCAGAAAAGUCAAAAGCCAUACUAAGAGCCAGCGGACCUGCUCACGGGAGUCAGGCCUGUUCUGUAGUGGGCAGACGUAGCAGGGCCAUCAGAAUAUAGGAAAAAGAGCCGCUGGAGAAAACCAAUUACGCCGGGUUCUCAAUUCCAUGGAGUAUGUAGUGAGUUUGAAUUGACCCGGUUAGCUAGAAGGUUCCUUUCGCUACCGUCCUAAGGUUAAACCAACCGUUGGUUUGCUUUAACAAGAUUUCACUGAAGUGAACCCGACGCGAAGUUGGUGAAACCUGAGCGUAGCUAAUGAAAGGGACUUAGAUUAGAACCGACUAUAAGCCCUGAGAGCCAGCAAGCAAACCCCCUGACUCUCUCUCUCUAAAAAGCCUGCGUAGUCAACUCCUUGUUUGUUUUCUUUCUGAUAGCUGCCUAGUUAGUUUUUCCAGUUUUCAAGUCAAGCGAGAAAGCAAGUGGAAUAAGACUUUCCUUUUUUCGGCCAUUUCUCAGCAAUAGCUACCUGAAUGGAAGCAAGCAACCUUCGGGGAGAAGAAGAAGAGUGGUCGAAGACUACGAGUCGAAGCUAAGACCAAUCUAAGCCAAUUUCCCUCAGCUGGAAACUAACUAUCUAGAUAGCUUCUUAGCGCUUAGCUACUUUAUUUAUUUAUCCUUCUGCGCCGCUAGCGCUACUACUCCUAGUGAUAGGAAUAACCUACUCUUUUUCGCGAGAAGGCCCAUCUCGGACCGGUGACGUAUUCUAAUGAUCUGGAUCUCUGGCUUAUCUCUUACUUGAUACUUGACGGAUUCGAUUUCGGCUAGUGGGAUUUAAGUGACGAUAAUCAGGGAAAAGGCUUGAUUGGCUCUGAUCGAUACCAUCUAAAAGUGCUUGCUUCAUCCAUUCGUGACAUUACUUGUUAUUCUUACUAAGUUUCGCCUCUAGUGACUCUUGGAAUCAUGCGCAUGGCUCCAUGUCGGCCUUAAUUUGGCGUCGGUGUAACGACCGGUGCAAGUAACAAAUACUACCUACGAGUCUCAUUCUCUCGCAUUCGUUCUUACCUGUCUUCUAUUCUAUUGAUCCAGUUUAGGCAGCUUUCAGUCUCUAUAAACUUGAUGGAAUAUCUCUUUCUUACACAAGAUACGAAGUCAUCAAUCAAUGGCAUGAAGGAGUUAAAUCAGGAACAGAAAGACUUUCAAAGCAAAGGCAUGAAGGCAGGAUAAAUACCUUUACUAAUGUGCAAUCAGCUAGGUAAUACAGUGAGUUAAAUUUCCUGUGCUAGCCAUAAGUAGCAAUGCGGAAGAGAAAGACUAAUUGAAUUCUAUUGCGCUCUAGAGGAGAUAGAGAAUUCAAUUAGUUAACUUUCCCGAAAGGCAAUCAAGGAAAGAAGUAUUGGUAAGAGUUAUGUUAUACUAUUCAAUGGUACGAAGUCACUCGACUCAUAUCGAGAAAGUCAAAUACGAUGACAGACAAAACAAGGGAAGCUGAGAAGGGAUGCCCUCCGCCGAUGGUAGACAAAGUGAAAAGCAGAAUUGCAGUUCAAGAGAAGUUCAAAGAAUUUCUUUACCGAAAGAAGGGAAUUGCUUUCCUCUUUCCCGGCUUGCUUUCUUGGCCCGGACAAUUUCUCUUUACUUGGCUCAGUCUCUUCGAACCUCUACCUAGAGCAUCUUCGAAUCUUGUUGAAUUGGUCUACCCCAUUACCUUAUUGUUUAGUUAGAACCGGAAUCCCUAUACCUAAAGCUACUGAUUCAGAUUCUGUUAUUAAACCUGAGCCUUCUGAAGAGUCCAUGUACCUUUAGCCGGUGGAGCUGGUUCUAACCUCUUCUUUCGCUUACUGCUUUAGGAAUAUCAAGAUUAGUCCACUACUAGAGAAAGAGCCCUUGUCUUUGGCGCCUAGUCUUCAAGUUCUUCUUCAAUGUCAAUUGUAACUAACUUACUCCAAUGCCACCUCGUUCCUAUCUGAUUUUGACAAUACCGGAACAUCCUCUGCGCCGUGCCCUGGAUAUGCCAUUUCCGCCUAACCCGAAUCUCUUGACUGAGCUGCAUUCUUUCCUAACUUUACUUUCUUGUGAUGAAAGAAUUUCCGAGGUAUGCCCUUCUAUCCCGUCUUAGCUUAGUCAGUAAAGCUAAUCCCCAAAGCCUAAGAAAGACUCCUUUUCCAGCUACUCUGGUUCAGUCUUUCCGGCGUCGAGUAAGUACCGGAAUCACUUCUAUAAAAGAAGUAGGAUUCGAACCUACCUUUAUUCAGAUAAACUGAUCGCUCUACCAACUAGCCUUCCGGGUGGGCUUAAGACACUGAUUUGCUAGAUCUAUAUACAACCUUCUUGUAUCAUGGGUUUGAAUCCCAUAAGAGCUACAUAACCAUGUAGCGUUGGGCUUAACCGAGACCAGACAUCUGCUUUUACGGUUUUGUUCGUCGUGACGAAGUGACUGCCUCACACCACUCUUAAGAAUUGGCACCGCACCCUAACCCUCUGGUCACUUCACUUGGCUUUCAUGCCUGACUUGUUGUUAUUUAUACCCCGGUUUCUAACGGUUCACUUCGCUAGCUGCGGUCCCCUACUUCGGUGACCCUUUCCUUGCGGCUUGGCUUGCUUGCUCGCUAAUCAUUGGCUUUAGACAGCGAUUUCUUUGAUGUCUGUAGGAUGAGAGUUAUUGCUUCAUCCGUAGUUCUGCUGAUUUAGGAGUAGGUCUUGGCUCUGAAGGCUUUUCUUCUCGAUGCUUUGUCCUCUAGUCCCGCUUAUUCUAAGUCUAUCUAAGUCUAUGGUAGAGCUAGAGCCCGGGAAGGUUCUCCAUGACAGACGAGAAAGGUUUUUUGGUCCCUUAGUAGUAAUAGUAGUUACUCCCAGCCCCUUUCCUUUACAGAAGAACAAAAAAGUUUAUUAGUUGCAUCCGAGGUUCAAAGCCCUGCUCAUAGAAGGGAUGGAGACAGCUACUUUUAGAAUGAGAGAGGCAUGGACCAAUGGUGUCAAAAAAAAAGGCAUUUAUUUUGUCCAAUCCAAUCACAGCUUAUUCCGCCUACACCUUCUUUGCCGAAAGCCCUUGUCUGUGGCUAUCUUCUACAUUCUCUGCCAUCUUCCGUCAUCCCCUUGAUCGACUGUCCCUAAAGCAAAGAGCCAAUGCCAGCGACUCUUCUAAGCCAUAAAGCUAUGGGCUAAGCGGGUGUCGAACUCAUACCUUGCUCCGUUCCUGGGAUUGGCUAAUGCCUUUAUCUUUCCUAGAGGAUAUCCCGGUUCGUGCCACUUUCACGGCGGGAUUUUUUUCCAUUUUCUUCGCAUUCUAUUUCGAUAAAGGGCUAGGCUAAACCUAAGGAUUUCAAACCUUACCUUAGGCUUACGACUGCUUCGAGAGCAUCUAGAGCAGGCCAUUCCCCUAUCUGUUAAUUUCUGAUUCCACUCGAUCAGUCACCUGAGAAAAAUCACACUAUUGAUAAAUAGUAAGUUAGCAACUCAUGAAUGGAAUAAGAGAAUAAAGACGAGCUGGAUUGACUUACGGAAAAGCUUGGAAACGAAGUCACUUAUCAAUCGAUAACUAUAUGCGUUACACAACUUCGAUUUUCAACAAUGGAAUAAAAACCUUAAAAUUAUAAGUCGAGAGACAAAGAAUUUCGAAUUGAAUGAAUUCGUAUUCGUUACUGUCUAAUUUAUGUUAUUUGUCGAGAUUGGUCUGUAAGAACCAUCGAGUCUUCGUCUCACUCGUAUCAAAUCCUAGCUACUCUAAUGCUCGUGCAAUUUAGCUUCUAAACCUCAUGAACUCAAACUCAUUAGUUCGCUCUGGAUCUUCUCAAUUCAUCUUUCAGCUUCAUUGCUCUAAAAGCAAGCCUUGAAUGAAUUUCGAAAUUGCUUAACUUAAUGGGAGAGAACACCGGGCUUGGUUCCGUACUCCCUCAAUCCAAGAAGGAACUCCACAAGCAAGGAACCAUUACUUUCCGAGCAUAUUAGCGAAAAGGCUCAUACAGAGGCAAGGAGGCCAAAAGCUUUCUUUAUUUGUUAGCUUCCCGAAGAGAGGAGAUGCGUCUUCGAAUCAACCCUUGAACCUAACCCUCGGAAGGAUGGUCUUGGCUGUCCUUUGGCUUAUUCCCCGAUCGGAAUGGACAACUGGUGACCUCGGGUGAGGGGCACGAAGGUAAUCAGUCUUGCUUUCCAGUCUCACCCAAGAGUCCCCGAAAGGGCCACUAGUAAGACUCUAUCUUAUCUUCGAUUACUAUACUAUUUUCUUAAUUGAUGUAUGUAGUUUCAUAUCAUAGAAGAAUUACGGGAAUGGAAUUCAGGCUGAAAAGCGCGAGACACAGAGUAAGGGGUUUACAGAAAGUGGAAUGUGGAAUGGAUAAAGAGAAGAAGAGGUCGACUAGGGCGCCAACUAAGGGCCAAAGAGACAAAGAACCACCAGCGGCUCCACCGAGUUUCCCCGGUAGCCUACCAGUGAGAACUACUAGGCGGGAAGGGAUCUAGUCGAAUUCAAGCAAAAGAAUACGUCGAACCCAUGCAUGCUACAAGAAAGCUUGUAUUUCCGUCUGGUCCAAUAGAUGUAACUGGCACCUUUCAGGUCGAGUCUGAAGCCAUCUCUAAUGCCGGACGCUUCCUCUUUUUUUUGUGCUAUUCCUCAUCUUGAAAUCCAAGCCUCACCUGUCCCAUGUUGGGGAUCCUAUUCUGCUUGUGGAUAUCUAAUGCUAGAAGGCUUAAUCCUUAAUAGCCAUAGAGUGGCUUACCCUUAAAGACAUCCAUGCAAACCCCUGAAAGUCUGUCUUCUUUUAAUGAAUGCCCUAGGCCUUCUUCACUUGCACAACCCUCCCUAACAGCCUAUGAAUGUGUAGUGGAAUCCCGCAAUGCGUCACCGAAUUUGAUGGCAGGCACAAUUCUGGCUAGUUCUCCGCACUACUUUUCUGCAGUUGAAGACUAUCAUGCCUGUUUAAUGAAAAACUGGCUGGCUCUGGCUACCUUGCGGAGCAAACAAAAUCUCCCCCAAUCACACUGCCUGUAUGAACAAACAAACUUUGUACAACCAGCUUACGUGGAAAAGAUUCGAUAUUCUUUCUAUGCCAAUAGACUCGUGACAUCCAUGUACUGAGUCGUCAAAUGAGCCACGUUAAGAAAGCCCAAGCUUAUACGCAUUGGCUGGCCCACAGGGUGCCCCAAUAGGGCCCGAAUGAAAGACCCAAGCCUACAUGAACCAUCAAAGAAAGUCCUACCACACUAGAUAGCUUAGAAAUUUCCCAUGGGAAAACUCUGUCUUAUGUGACUGCGUGUGCUUGUUAGAUUGCUUGGGGUUCUAUGUUGGGCCCACUGUCACCUUAGGAAAAUGGACUUAUCGGCUGUCUUGAACUAGAAGUAGAACAGCUAACUCGGACUCAGGGGGCACUUCUGACUUGUUAGCUGCAGGUACGAACGUAGAGAGUUUGUUAGGUCCCAUCCGGUCUACAAAAAAAGAACUCGAACUACUAGACAGACUAAGAGGGAAUAGACGGGAAGCAAGCAUGGAAGCACUCAAGCUAAAGCAAAUGCACCUUACAACACUUCGAAAGCGAAUCUAAUGCAAGGUUAAGGUACCUCACUAAAGGGGCUAGGGAAAUUAUCCUAGACAGAAGAUAACCUCGAUCGGACCUUAGUCUGGAUUCGAAAACAAAGAAGAAACAGCUUUGACAUUGGCAAGUCACACAUUUUCUCCCUCUGAGUCCCUGUCCCCGAGUCUCAAAGAAAGAAAAAAGAGAUGUACGAUUCGAUGGGGAUAGAAAAGGAAACCCGUAACCACGCUUUCACUUACAUUAAAAAUUUCAACAACUAACGGAAGAGGGAAUGCACCUUUACCAUAGGGCAAUGGAAAGAAUCCGCGUAAAACAAAGCGGUGGCCUAUGCCCAAAAAAAGAGGGAGAGAGAUCUCUCGUCAGGUCUUGGGUAGUUUGCCGGAGGUGUGAAAGGUGGGCUUCACCUUUUUCUGUAGCCUUAUAAAUAAGGCGAGGCCACCCUAUCAGGUAUGGGGUGGAGGAGGAGAGCGUGUAUGUGGGCUUCUUAUACUGGAUUACUUUACUGACAUUCAAAACCGGUAGAGGAUUUGGAAGGUUACUAAUCUUUCUUUCGAGUGCGGCUCUAUGCAAAGGUUAUUCAUCUUUCCCUAGGGUGCUUAGGAAUUAGAGAUUCUUAUGCCCUGCCUACGUCUAUUCAUGCUUGGUCUUCUGAGAGUUAGGAUGAAAUGCGAUCCAUUCAAAGUCUGAGUUUGUACAAAAUUCCUUCCUCACCAAGUAGUCUCGUUGGUCUUCAAAAGAAGACAGUCGAGCUAGGGGCGGCGCUUCUUCCGGGAACGCUAUUUCCCGGCCUGGGACAGUUGGUUGAUUGGAUAAGAGGGGAGAUCCGCGAAGGGAGUAUAAAAUCAGAAAGAAAGUAAUAGGAAAAAAUAGGGCUCAAUCUGAAGAUGGACGGUCUUUAGGCACUCGUCCCUUUAUAUUAUAGGGGUGGGUUCAAAUCAUUCUAUAUGAGGAGCCAGUUGAGAUUGAGAUAUAAAAAAGUGGAGUCUUUCACUUAGAGAGUAUCCUCGGCUAUAGGUCUUCCGGUCCGGCUUCCUAAACCACUUGGUCCCGUUCUAUGCGCAUCUCGGAUUCAACCUGCACAUAUCACUCUACUUUCUUUCUGGGAGAGCCAAUAGAGAACUCAAGGGUAUCAACUUUUGACUCGACUCGUUGAAAGAGUAAAAGCUCCUGACUAGCUUUAGAGCACACGGCAAUUGGUACUACUUCGCUAUUGGUCACCGCAUUGAAAGCGAUCUUUAUACGUUAGGUAAGUUAGCGGCGUAAUAAGCCGGCCUUUGAAGAAAGAAAGACCGUUCCAUCUUGUUCGAAAGCGGUCCACUCCGGAAGUAGUGGUGGCAAAUCUUUUGGAUGGACUUAAAAAAUAAAACUCUUUCUUUUCAUGGAAACGAAAGAAUAUGAAAUGAAGAAUGACAGGGCUAGGUAAAAGGUGCAUUAGAGCAAGUCACUUAUUAUCCCCACCCAAAGGAGGUAAGGAACUGGGACGGAAUGCGAGCCAGAGGGCACCUAGAUUAACCCUGUCAAGCAAACUGGAGGGUUCGCCUCCCCUUGGAACGGCCCUUUCGAAACAGCAUUCUAGCAACUUCGUUUUCAUCCAGCGUUCUCACCAACCAGUGAGCCGUCACAGAGUCUCCCGCUAACUCAUGCCAAACCCUUAUGAAGGUAUCCGACUUUUUCCAAUUCAGCCUUUGUGACUUCAUCAGUCUACCAAUAGCAGCAUGCCAGUACUUUGCCCUAACUACGAAGCUUGAGUCCUGUCUUCGCCCGUGAACGCAACAGGACGCGGUCGUCUAACUCUACUUCCGCAGCGAGUCUCAUUGCAGCUCUCUCCUGCAGUAGUGAUGACGGUUCGCCACACCAGACAUCACAUCCCCUUGAAGUGAAGUUCCACUUCAAUUGCCACAAGAGAGCAUCAUGGCAUUUCUUCCGGUGGUAACAGCACUCUAGCCCGGUCUACCACGCUAAGUGUCCCAAUGACACAUCGACCUCUACCGUAUCGCAUUCUUGCACAUGCAUAGGUAAUAGUGAGAUCCUGGGCACCAUCCUUUUCAGCCCUUUCCUUUGUCUCACAAUGCCCUCUUGGCAACGUAAGCCAUCAGUCGUCUGCACAAUGCACGACGGACCAUAGCCAACUUCCCAAUCUGCGUCUUUCAAGCAGCCAUCGAAGCCCAAAGCCUAUGGGUCAUGAAAGACCAUGCCGACUGACUAUGUGCCGAGAGCUCCUCCCCCGAACCCCUUCUGUCCUCCUUCGUCUUGUGCGCCAGCUACGUCCUCUACUGAAUUAGGAUAUUUCCUUUCUACGUCCCAAAGAAUGGCUUUUUUGGCAUGCGUAAAGACCAAGCUACGGAUGAGCGACUAGCGCGAAAGCGCAUCCCUUUUCUUGCUUUAGCUUAUAUUUUUGCAUGCUAAUAAACUGACCUAGAAGCUUCUUUUAACACGCCCUUUGACUAAGGAAAAACGGGCAUACUAACGAACUAUCUCCAUAUAGGCCUACCACUUGUCUUUGCUUGCUUACUUCUAAAGCAAACCAGACUGAAGAGAGUAGAGAAAGACUUUUUUAUUACGUUAUCCAGAAUGCGAUGCCCCAAGGCAAGAAAGUAGCAAUCGGCUUUCAAUCCUAUGAUUUUACUCGAAUAGCUAAUGUCAGAUCUUCCAUAUGGUUCUGUAAAUAAAUAAACUCUGUCAUGGUAAACCCAAUACCUUGUCUUUUCAGCUUUGAAUCCAACAACAACCUUAUAACAUCAUCGUGAUACUGACCAACAUUAGAACCCUAAGUGAAAGACUUAGCAAUCCCCGACAGCUGACUGUAGAAAUUGUUCCAGAACUGCUCAGCAGAAGUUUUUACACUUACUCAUGUAAAUGUAAAAACUUCUGCCCCCUAAAAAUGCAAUUCCAACUCGGCCAGAGAAUCAAAGGGCAGAUGGUAUGUCUUUCUAUCCAUCCUGAUUGUUGGAUUGAAAUUCAAAUCCGACUUUAUGCGAGCAAGGUUCAAAACAAUAGAAUCCGUCCUUCUAUCAAUCGAGAAAAAACAUUAAUCCAAAAGAUUUCUUAAUUACUACUACAUAAAACACUACAUUACAUAAACAACCACAUAUGACUUUAUUAGAGAACUAGAGCUUUAAAAGCAUUCUGUUAUGCUAACUACAUUAAUUAAUUUCGAAACAGAAAUAAGUCAAAGGAUAGGCCUUAACAAGUAGAAAGAAGAUAAAGGAACUACUUUUUUUCUAGUCUUCCCUGCCUGUCACCGAGUGUGACAGCCGGGACACAGCCUCCGAAAUGAGUUCGAGCUGCUCCUUCCGCAGCACUUCCAGCCUUAGCUAACAGCAGAGGUAUUCUCUUUGCACUUGCUCCAGACUAUCUUGCUUGGAUCACCGCUACCUCACUCCCUAUCCGAUUCUUCUCCUCAGGAUAUUCUAUCGGCUUAUUCUCCGACAAUAGAUAUUCGGAGUAUCCCCUAUGAGUGGAUAUUAGUUACAAAGGAACUAGUCUUAGGACACUUGAAGAGGCAGAAUAACAAGCAGAAGCAGGCAAAAGGCUCAAAGCCAGGCUUUAGGAAAGAUUCACUACGUAUCACUAUGAAUAUUCAGUAUGUAUUUUAAGUUCCACUAAUCAUUUGCGGGAAAUGGGUGCUACUCAGAUGCUUCGCUGACAUAAUAUUCAUUUGUCUAAAACGAACCGCUACUCGAAUCCUAAAUGGCGGGAAGGGAUCGAAGAAGAAGUUCCAUUUCCUUUUCAUCUCAUUAGAUCCUAUUCCCAACAUCGAGUUGUAGUUGCUAUCCUUGUAUCCGUCUUCUUCCCAGUUGGAGUACUUUCAUUCCGGAAUACUAGUUCCUUGGGCUUGGGGAUCUAGUCCCAGUCCCACUUCCAGCCUGUUCUCUUCUCUUUCCAGGAGAUUGAGUUGGAGUUUCAUUCGCCAGUUAGAGGAGCUAAUUGAAGACUCACAUGGAUGAGGCUAUACCUAUAAACUAUCUAAUAUGGGAGACGGAACCAGUUGAAAUACUUGUUUACUCCCUUAAGGGAUAAUUCCAGUAGUACCGAUCAUUCUGUGAACUCCUUUCCUUCUCUCUGUUGGUGUCGUGGAUACAGUCUAUGAGAUUCCAGUUCUUUGUCCAGUCCCGUAUUUGAAGGUUGAAUUUGCUUGAGUAGUUUGUGUAAUGAAGGGAGGGACUAAUGAGGUUGGAGAAGCAUUCCCGAUCGUAUCAGGCCUAAGACUUCAAAAGCCUAUCCGCCCACCUUUGCCUUCCCCUUUCCUUUGUUUUGGCACUUCUCUAUGAACAGCGUAGUCCCCCACUCAACUAACCUAACUAAGAGCACUCUCCCUUCCUUCAUUACCGGUGACAAGAAGUUCACAGCUCAACCGAGGAGGAGGCCAUCUCAGUGAUGAUUUGAUCUCCUUUUCUGACCUAUGCUUGGAUGUCAUCAUCUUACCUUGGGUACACGACCAUUAGUUGCCUCUGUGUAGUCUGUACGUAACUCUUCAUCACAGUGAGUGCUUUCCGUCUCUUACUUAGAACGGUGUUAUUUAUUGGCUUUCUCCCUCUAGGUGAAGUAAGACUGCUUUUCAUUUUUCAAAUCAUUCAAUCAACCGACCUUGCUUAAUUCUCCAAUCUUAUUUAAGUCAAUAUAGAACUAAAAGAAUGGGCUUCUUCUUUGCUCUCAUUCUUUUCUCAAACAAAGGACUUCGCUGACUGGUCGCACUCAUGCUAGUUUAGUUCCUCCCUUGAUCGCCCGUCUGUAAUCUGUAAUAGGGAGACCUUGGGAAGGCAUCACUUAUGCUAGAAGGCUUCACUGCCCUCCUUACUAGCAGCCCAGAUCUGUUUUGUGCUCGGCUUGAUGCCAUCUCAGAUGUCCAUUCAAGUAGCCUGCCAACCCCUCUCCUUUUAGAAUAGAAAUGCAACUACGUUCCUUUAGCGGUUAAGUAGGAUUUAUAUAGAAGGGAUAGGUUUUAGUCCUGGUUCAAGGUGUGAAGAGAGAGGCUGUCCCAAAAGGACAGGUACAAGACGAAGUGGCAGAAAGAUAGAAGUAUUGCACCCUUCAAUGCCUUUUCAUGCUGAUUGAGUAGAAGAAGUCAGAUAGAAGGACUAGUCCCUUAGGGAAUGAUCUUAUCUGGCUUUAGACUCCUUUCAACGACACAAGAGACAAGGUUAUGAAAGAGUUUGCCUAAGAAGCUUAAGGGCCCUUGCCGCAACACAGCGCUAAAACUUUCGACUCACCGGCGGCUGGCUUCGUCUUCACUUUCAAGCUGGAACAGAACGUAAGUUGACAACCUUUAGCUUCUACUACAACAACAAUAGACCUAUCCUUCCUACUUAACUGCUUAACGGCAGCUAGUGUGACACUCGAAUCCAAUCUUCUAAGGAGUAAGUAAAAUACCCUUCUUCGCUUCACUAAACAAGAUUCAAUCCCGGGACAGACUCCGUGCAUCCUUUAAAGAAGAAUCAAUAACAGCCGAAGAAUCAACUACGAGACUGGUCUACGAUCAGUAGAUCGGGUACAACUUGACCUUACCCGCUUCCGAUUUGGUUGGUUUUCAGUCUACCGUGUACGGUAGAUAAAGGAAUGCAUGUUCACCCGGGCAUUGAGUCACAGGGCCCUAUGCCUUAUCUUCCUUAGUGAUCUUUCUAUCCAGGUUGCUUGCUCUGGGUGCAGCUAUCACGCUUAGGCUGGUUGGAAGCAUUCCUCGUCGAUGAAGCCGGCAUUGCCCUUUCCGCCGCUAACCUGUGAAAUGGAGCUUUUUCACGCCGGUUCUUUCUGGAUAUCAAGGAGGUGACGAUCUUUCUUUGCAUCACAAUGAGUAGGCCGGGACAAAGCAAGAGGAAGUCGUUCACUCUAGGAGUCGUUUGGGCAAAUCCAAGAUGGAAAGGGCGGGGGCACACUAGUUUUCACAUUAAGACUUUGAAUCAUGCCUGGUCUUCCUUGAUCCAUGAUGCCUAAGGUGCCUAAGUAUGGCGUAGGGACGGCUUUGGUUUGGUAUCCAAGAACUCUAUCCCUAAGACGACCUUGAAAUCGUCUAGGGGCGCCACAGCCUGCCUAUUUGUGGCUCCAUCUGGAAAACUGGAGCUUAUAUGGGUGCUUCAGGCAAACUAAGUCAACUGAAACUCCAACCGGCGUAAGAAGAAAUCGCAAUAAAGCGUUUAUUCAUUUUUUUCUAUACUCGCUACGUAAACUCCACUACUUGCAUUUAGUCUCGUAUAUAUUCAACCCACUUGGAAGGCUAUACCUUCUGAUAGAGGGAAAGCGCGAAAGGAUAAGAAAGGGAUCGAUCUUUCUCAAUAUAAAAAGUGAAAUAGAGUGGUUCCUUGCCUAUGAACUGCAUUUUGUAUCUAACGAUAUAGAUGCAGAUCCUAUAGGUUUCGGUUACCCUCUCUGGUCACCUUUCAUUCGAUAUGCCCUAGACCCAGGAAAGAGAGAUAUCUCUCUUUGGUCAAUGAGGGAUUCUUACCCUCUUUGCCAAUCCCAGGUCGAAGAAAAGAGGGUAUACGGAAUCCCUAGCUUUGGCUCUCCCGGGAGACUAGCCCAGUCCACCGAUUCAGGUGCUGGUAAACGUCGGAUAUUUGCCAUUGGCAACUACGUCAACCAACGGUUGCUAAAGCCUCUUCAUGAUUGGUUAAUGAAAGCUUUAUAAACUUUGCCCAUGGAUGGGACUGAUAAUCAAGUCUCACCCUUGGACCUUUUGGUUGGAGCGGAACAUGUCUCAUCUUAUGAUUUAAAAUCUGCCACAGAUGGGUGGCCGAUUAAUCUACAAGGAGACAUUUUGGCCUUCUUAUUUGGAUCAGAAGUGGAAGGUUUCGUAACCUCCAUGCUUUCUUUAUCCUGAUUUGAAGUGCCAUUCCGCAGGGCCCCUCACCGUAAAGGUGGUCGGGGUGAUCCUGUAGAAUAUCCGUUCGCUCGUGGUAGACCCGUUGUCUCUUUUGAGACAGGGCAGCCAUUGGGUUAUCUGUCGUCUUGGCCUCUCUUCACACUGAGUCACCAUUUAGUGCUUCAGUCUUGUGCAGAGAAGGUGUAUCCGGGCAGAUAUUUUGACAGGUACGCUAUCCUAGGCGAUGACAUAUGUAUCGCUGAUAGGAAGGUUGCGUCCGUAUAUCAUCAGGUCGUGACAGAUCUUGGUGUAGAUCUUUCUAUACCUAAGUCUCUUGUCUCCGAUUCUGGUGGUGCUGAAUUUUCAAAGCGUUUUAGGUGUCAUAAUUUGAGUGUGGAUUUCUUAAGAUGGAAAGCCUGCCGAAGACUUCUAGGCAAGGAAAGAGAGGAAGGUGAGUAACUAGGGCUUACGCGGAAACUAAAAUCGUAGAUCGUUUGGCUGGAUCAAUUAUUCGUUUUAUGAACGCUUUAGUUUAGUGUCACCAUACUUCAAGCAUCGAAAAGUAGGUUUUUCGGCAUUCAAAUAAGCCAAUUAAUCGACCUUGAAUGUGACGUAGAUAGGGUUGAGAUUCAUUCAUAGGCUGCCCAAAGAUCAGCCUUCAAGAGCCCUCCUUUUUAGGACAUCUGAGGAGUAAGGCCCUCGCGCAGGCGGGAACUUGUCUUUAACGGGAUUUUUGAUUUUCCUGCAAACAAAAGAAAGAUAGAAAGACCAGUGACAGCUACGGCUAAUGCUAUUGUUACCUCCUCCUUUUCGGAUAGCAAUGAUAUAAUAUGCCUUCUGUUUUCAAGGUUGUUAUCACUUACUUGCUAGAGUAAGGAAGACAUCGCACUUUUUUAACCUUACCUUACCAAAGUAAAGUAUCAAGCUGUCUUUGCUUUGCCAGCGGAUUCCAAUUCUGCUGUGCCCAAACCAUUCUUGGCUUUACAACUGCAGCGCCUACGGUUGUUGAUGAGCUUUCUUCCAUUUAUAUGGUAAUGCGGUGAUUACAGAAUUCCGUUGCACUAAUGUGGAUCAUAAGCAAGAAAGAGAAUUGCUGAGACUCCCAGGUGCGUAUCUGGUCAACAACCUACAGGAAUAGCUGGAUGUUCUAUUUCGAAAUCCAGAAAUGAAAUGACUGGUGGUACCUGUAAAGUUACUAAAUGUAUCGUCUUUGGAUUAUUCUUUUUGUCCGAAAGUCUUCUUCGUCUUCUGCUGGAACUAUUUUCUCUAAAGGUAGUGAAGUGAGCCGAGGACAUGAAAUGAAAGAGAUUAAGAAGGGAAGGCGGAAGCUAAGGCAUUAGGAUAGGAAUGACAAGGAUAAGAACUAGACAGCUUCACUCCUGGCUUUUCAACUGAAAGGAGGUGGAAGCUCUACUAAGAAGGAGAUGGAAAGGAGGGCACUUAGCUCGGCGUUAGGUAGUUAGGAGCGAAGGUAGUACGAGGCAGAGCAAAGACUAAGAUAGGAUGGAACCAUCAAUACGUCAAGGAGAGAGUUUCACUCUUGCCAGGUGGGUCACUUUGACUUCGGGAAUCAGAUUGAUAGCUUUUCUAAUGGGGCGAGGCUAACGGUUCCGAUAGAAAGCGAUGCCUACUAGACUGGCUCGAAUCCGCCUUUAAAUAGUCUCAUAGCUUCUGCUAGGUGAAGAAGGAGACUAUUUAAAGGCUGAUCCGAUCCAAUCGAGAACUUAUCCCAAUCAACGAGGAUGACGCUUCUCGGCAAUAUGCCACCGAUGACUACCACUGCAGGAGCAAGUCUGAGUGAAAGAACGAGUUUAAUACUUUCUUAGCUUAGAGAGGGAGGCUACUGAAGCUAGUUGGGUUUAGGUCUGAUAUUUGCUUGCCUGAAUCUAUCAACAGGGCUUUCAUAGGGAGGUUUUCAUUUCUGUCUGAUCAUGUUGACUUCAUCUCCCCUUACCACUUACAACAUAGGCCGGGGCGUGUGAUCAACUGAGAGGGAUCGAAACUUCUCCUGCCUAUGCCUUUGUCGAGGGUCCUGCAUGACUACUACUGCGGGAGGGGAUUCUGAAUGAGAUUUGGCUGGCUCGGCUUGGAACUUGAGAAGGUUCACGGAGAUCCUGUAUCUUAUGCUUCAAGGCAAAACAUCUAUCUGUCCAAUGUCCUGGGCUACUCGAAUGAAUCCUCCGUCCACGAGGGGUCAGGAAGAAAGAAGAAGGAGUAAGCAGCAACUGAUAGAGUAUAGGCAAUUUAUCUUAUCCAGUAAAGGAAGCUAGCGGGGCAAAGAGUAGCAUUCCGGUCUCUCUUGAAAGCGUGAGAAGCAGGUGUUCAAGGAACGAAUAUCUAUAAAGUACAAGUGCACAUUGCCCUGCCAAUCUUUCUUUGCAUCACAAUGAGUAGGCCGCCUGAUUUCAAAGGAAGAGAGGGCUUUUUGCUUGAAUCUGGAAUGGCGGGACUGAUUGACGUCACUUCCUUACAUCAACAGGAAAGUGCUAAGACCAGUAAUGCCCCAUUAUUCUAUCAAAGAGCCUAGCAACAACCUAUGCGAAUAAGGCGAAAACAGCUUCCUUCUCAGGAAAACAAAGGCAUUCGAUGCGGUUCGAACUCCGGGAACACAGAGGUUACAGGACUAAGCCACUACUCAGACAAGAUUGAAAGAUCAGCGGUUUCGAACAUCACCUAUGAUAAUUCAAAACAGCAUUUCUCUAAUUAAAUGACUUGAAAGAUAGGUUCUCUUCUCUAUAUCUGGCAAUGGUCAGCAUUCUAAAAGAGGAAAUCAAGCUGUAACCACUCCUUUCGCGCCGACUUUUGGACACGAUGCUAUGCUCCCAAUGGAGAUCACCCGCACGGGUAACUUAUCAUAAGAUAAGGCCAUGUUUGCAGGAUUAGAAUAUAUCGAUGAAGUUAGGAUGGAUGCGAUGCGCUCGAGCAUAUUUGGGCUCAAAAGGGAAAGGUGACAAAAGUCUAACUCGUCUCGUGUGUACUCUUCUUAACUCCUUCUUAAACAAAUUAAGGGCAUUUCUUGAAUGGCCGAUAGUCCGGUGCCUAGGCUAGCAAUGAUGAUAUAGCAGUCGAAGAGGCCACGCUUCUCUUUUCCUACCCACUCUGAUUGCUCUCGUAGCCAGUCUUACAGUAAAAGCUGUAAUUGCUAUCAUUGAAUCACUAACCGGUGCUGGAGGGCGGAAAGAUCUAUAUCUAAGAGGAAGUAAGUGCGGGUACGGUCAAACUGCGCUGGAAUAGUUGGACAAGUAGCUCAUUGUCGAUUCCCAUGGGCGGUAUUCCGACAUACUUUCAUUCUCAUCAAGGCUGACAGACAUGGGUUCUCUCUCCUCGAAGGGUCCAGCAUCCUAUCCUAUUGGGCAAGCCCAGGAACGAGAAGAAGAGUGCCCGGAACCACGUUACAUACUGCUUACCUAGAAUAAGUAGCCAGGAAAGAGAAAAGAAGCACCUCUUUCCGACGCUAAGCGCAAAAGGCACUCAAAGGUAGGCUCCAAAAGUCUCCCUGACGGAAGGUCUCUUUUUCCCCUCAACCUUUGAGUUUAGUAGUGUAGUACUAUUACCUCUCUCUUUAAGUUUUAGUACGAGUUGAGAGUCAAAGGAAGAGCUCCAGAAGGCGCAUUCCUGCCUGCCCGCGUGAGCUUGAUUUGUUGCCUACGUGAGUUGAGCUGCAAGCUUAUAACUAGUAGCAAGUGUUCAAAAAGAACAACUAUAAUCUUCUUCAAAGUCGUUCCUGACUCUUCAUAAAGCCUCUGAUCAAGGGGAACUUGAACUUCACUCCUUGCCCCACUAACAAAGACUAAAUGCCACCCCCGAAAGUAGAUUUAACCGCAUCGGAAAAAAAAGGCAAGAGGGAAUCAGGAACUGUUUUCACUCGUGCCUUUUAAAAAUACGAUGAGGGGGAUAGGUUUAUUGCUACUUAAUUGGCAGCAGAGGAAGAUUUUGUCCUGUAGAAGGGCAGUCUGAGUCUGUUAAGAAUUCGAGAUCUAGGGGUCGAGUCGAGAAGUAGCAAUAGUAGAAGUCAAAGUGGAAAGAGAACCUAAUUUGAGUAUUAGGCUAACUUUCACAUGCACUUGCUCUGGCUUCUUAAGAAAGAUUGAGACGACAAGCUUUCAAGCGGCAAAAGCAGCGAUUCCAUGAGCAGGCACUAGUUCCGGAACUUAAACUAUCGUUUGAACAAGUGAGUCGGGAAGUGAUGGUAGUAGAAAGAAUCGGAACUUCUUCUUUCUUUCCUAGGGGAAGAUCUGUUGACUUAUCGACCAGAAAGCCUUUGCUAUUAUAUAGUCCUCAGCUCUCUUUCAUAAGACUCGUGUAGUCCACCCCAAAAGGAGCUCCACUUUUAGCAGGAAGUGACUUAUUUGGAAGCGAUAAGUAGAUUGAUUGCUCGAAAGAGCCGUACCUAGCUAAGGGAAGAAGCUAUCUAGCCGGACAGAGAAGACAGGGCUAUUGCAGUGGCUACUAUGGAGAUUCCUUCUGCCACCGAAACCCAGACGCCAAAGGGAUGUAUCCUAUCCUCUAUUCUAAGCGCGAUAGACGAGUACCCGGUCAAGUGAAGCUUGAUAGUCACUCAAAGCUCAAGCUCGAGCUAAAGUUCAACGAAUCCUAGUUAGCUUGCACUUUGAGUUUUCAAAGUUAAGGUGCGCUUCCCUUCCAGUCGAAUAGAGACUAUUAAAGCAAAGGCAAGUGGCAUUGGUCUUCUAUUUCUAUUAGACAAUCACUUGACUUUGCGAAAGACCCGGUUGAGUUCAACUAAACCAAUCGACAAGAGUGAUACCUUGUUCUACCAUUGAUUCACCUUCUUCCCAUGACACCGACCUAUAUCCCAACCAAUCCAGCAAGCGAACUUGUAGGUCUGACUGGCUUGAAAGCAGGAAACUCUCAUCGGAGAACGAGUUCCCCCGCCUUUCAUAAAUCGAUCGCUAUCAGUGAAUUUGAUGUCAGAGAAAGGGGUGCGUCCUCAGCCGGCGAGGAAGACUAACUAUCUGAUCUUUAUUUACGUGAUUGAGCGGGGCACAGCACAUCAGCCAGCCUUUCAAGCAUCCUACUCCUUGUAAUCGUAUGAGUCCUGGCCUAAUCCUUGAGGGCUAUCAGUCAAAGUAGGAAAGAUUGUUGUCUGAAAAGUAGUCCAUUACGUAUGUAUGGUAGUUUUUUCCGUAUGCCCGUCUAAGCGGGUUUCCGGCUAGUCUUUGAAGUCUUGUAAUGGAUUCUUCUGGUUGGGUUGUAGCGCGGGUUUCCGUUGGGUUAAACCUUAUCGAUCUUCUUCUUGUUUGGUAAGCGGCUUCUUGCCUGGCGCCCUCCUUUAAGUUGAUUUGACUACUCUUUUCUUUCCCUCAUUCUUUCAUUUCUUUCGUAUAGGGAGUUGAUUAAGUUUACUGUUUUCCCUACUCUAUAAGAAAGUUCCUUCAGCGGUCUAAGCUUCUCUGCCCGCUUUGCAUUAAGUAUAUCAGUCGAUUCGGUAAUCAUUCCGUUAGCUCUUCAUCCCGUAAGGAUUCGAAGUAGUGUCUCAGUGUAACCGGCCCCGCUGGGCAGAAAUCCUCUAAGAGUCCCGCAGGUAACCCCGUGGGCUAACUUAUCCCUCCGCAUCCUCGUUGAAGCGAGGGCCUUUUCUAGCUUUGCCCCUCAUCAAGGAUUUCUUCCUUCCUCUUAUCGCUUCCUUGAUGAAGCAGCAGCCUUUGCCACAUUCCCCUAACACCUUUGAUGGCUAGCUCUCUCCUCGUGCAAGCCUUCUAUUAGCAGUUCAACCUGUACCUGACUUGCGAAUCGGUAAUUGCCUAAUUUGCUAUUCCUUCUUUUCUUCCAUGAGGAAGCGGAGAGGUAGCGUGUAGGUUUGACUAAUGCAACUAGUCGGCCUUCAGGUAAUCAAUCCUCAUAUAAUAGGGAAGCCGGCCUUUCUUCUUUCCUUCAGGUGGUGAAAUGCCUAUCAUAAUUGCUGUUGCAGGAGCGAUGUCAAAGUGAAUCUUGUAGUGAGGGGUGGUAUAGCACCAUUACAGUUGCGUUUUUGUCUGCUGCUAAGGUUCAAUGCUUUCUCUUUUAACAAGUAGUAAGCGCGGGAGCAGCCCUCUCUUCCUUACACCCUGAAACUAGGGCUUUAAGAAGGGCCCCUCCUACUGGCUUCAAUCAGCCCCAUACUGAUGAAAGGGCUAUGCAUCGUAUCACAUUCUACACACCCAUCUAUCUAUUCUGAACCUAGCUUAAGCUCGUCUAUCAAAAGGGGUUCACUCGAUACAAGGGGUCUAAGACCGCACGGGAAUGCAUCCAGUCAAUUCAGGAUCAUCAACAUUUCUUAGACCUUGAUCUUAAAGCGGUGACUUCAGCGACUUGCUCUCAUUCUUUUCUCAAACAAAGGACUUCGCUGACUGGUCGCACUCAUGCUAGUUUAGUUCCUCCCUUGAUCGCCCGUCUGUAAUCUGUAAUAGGGCACUCUGGGAAGAUUCUCUGCUUUUUCUCUUCCAACAAGGGAUCCUGUUCAUCCACUCAAGCGCAUUGGAUCGUUGGUUAGCCACUCUGGUGGUGAGUUCAACCAAAAGAAAGAGUGACUUGCCAGAGAGAGGAACCCACUAUCUUCAGCCGUUCUCUUGCCAAGGUCAGGCUUUCUUCCGGGCAACAAAUCCAUUCCAAAACCUAGCCUAAUGAAUAGUCCCUUUUUUCGGAGUUGUAAUCAAUGAAAUUAAUAAGAAGAGGGGACUUUUCCAAUAGAAGAAGGACCUCCCAUCCAUCAUAAGCCUGAGCCCACGAUCUAAAGUAGGAGUUGAAACUGUUGACCGAGGUUAUGAAAUAGUAAGUAGCUUUCGAAGUCCCAUCCCAAGAUCUCAUUAGUGGUCAAAGGUGAAAGAACGGAAUUAAUUAAUUAAUCCACCCACUAUCAAUAUCCGUCUUCGUUGACUUAGCUUGGGACUCUUCUGUCUUAGCUUCAUUAUGAACAACAUCUUUCUUAGCCCAGCUCCAAUAAACUCAGAAUAGGAGUGGGAAGUUCGCAUCUUUUCUUUCUGGCUGUCAACUCUUCUGCCUGUUCGCACUGUGUGCUGCUGAGGGGACUGCGGUGAGGAAGGUAGCAUCCCUUUAGCUUAAAAUAAGUUUCUAAUGCUAGCCUCUAAGCUAGAUCGUUUCCAUCAGUGCUUCUCCUCAUCGGGAAUCACUUAUGGUCACUUGUUCAUUGAUAAACAAGCAACUCCUCCUACUUCCCAAGGAUCCUCAGUCUUCUAAGCUUAAAAAAAGCUGAUGUUUGAUACAACAAGGACCUACUUGUCUUAUUAUCCGGAUAAUUCUAGUUAUAGAAGUGGAACUAUCUGACUUCUUUGACACAUUAAUGAAUGGUACCUGCACGUCUAGCUUGCUCUUCUUAUUCUUCCUCUCCUUUAAGUCGAGCUUAUUAUUUCCCAUCUGCUUCUCUUCCCCUGCUGCGGUUGACCGAUCCAUAUCUUUGAGGUAAAUGUACAAUACUCCUCUGACGGGGAGGGGAAAGUGGGUUAGAGGGUUCCCCCAGUAGGGAGGUUGCUUCACAUCUAGUGAAUGAAGGUCGCAUAUUAGCUUAACUCUUUUACAUAACUGAUAUGCGAAAUCGAUGAGGCCAUGAAGAUGUGUGACGUUCAAGGUAAGGUCCCAAAGUCCCUCAUAAAAGAAAAGCAGGAAUGCCUGCACUGAAUGGAAUGACUGAGCGAAGGGAGACACCCGACUUGCAACGCAACAGACCUAUUAUGCAAAUUCUCUAUCCUUUAUAUCCUCGUAUUGAAAAGUAUUUUAUGAUGAUCCAUUAGUCCUUCUAGUCCCCUAGCUGCACAUUCAUCCUAUAUAAGGAUGACCGGGUAUAGAAGAAGAAGUCCUUGCUUUAUUAAAGAUUAGAUUGACUUCUUGUGCCACGCCUCCUCCUAUUACUUGUUCGCCACUUCCGGCAUUAUCAAGGUCGCUUUUCCUAUAGCCCUCGAGGAGUGAGUUUACCGAAAGGAAGAGUCAUAGGAUGUGUAGUAGUAGCAUAAGAAAGCAUGCCCAAAGAAGAAUGCGGAAAGAAGGACUCUUUUUUACCGGUCGGAAGAAAGAAAGCAACUAAAAGCUUCACAGAUGACCAGUCCAUUUAUCAUCCCACCACUCACGCCAACGUAGGAGUUGGAGGGUAGACCCAUGCAUAUGUUUAGCUCUUGGCUUCUAUUCCCUAUGUCAAUAAUCGCGAAAAAGAAGUUUACUACAGGAAAAACUACAUUAAAAGCUCUCUAUUCCGUCUAGUCUGAUAUUACGUAACCAGUCCAUUUCGUAUGUCUUUCGAAGCGAGGGGCCGGGUUUCCUUGUUUCCUUUCGGAGGACAUGGUACAUGCCCUGCAAGAAAAUAGUCUUUAUAAUAAUAAUUAUAAUAAUAAGAAGUCCUGUUCUCUCUCGGCAGCUACCAUCGGAUCAUCGGAGUUGGGCAGUUACAUCUUUCAUUCAAUAACCAGUGGUUGAAGGUUGAUUCCCAACAAGAGCAACCUGUUCAAUAAGAUGGGAGCUAAAGGAAGACUCACAUAGAUUAAGUAACUUUUGAAGCUCGGAAGACUUAUACUGUUUGCUGGGGGUGACCCAAGACGGUCACGUCCUUACUCAAUAACCGAAGCUGACUAAUCGACUCGAUCUUUAUCGUAAUCGUAUAAAGGCCUCGCGUCAGAUAUUGGUUGCGUUGAUCGGCGGAUUGCAACAUCACAUCUGGAACGACCGAUCUAUGAAUCUAUAGCUUUCCGUGUUGAAAGACGUCAAGAAAGCUUGAAUAAGAAUAGUUGAUUCAAUAGCUGCGGUUAGUCCUUUAGACUCUUCCUACUGUCAAGCUACUACAGGCUAACUCAUAGCCAUCUCUUUAGCAUCCUAGCCCAAAGAAUCCCAUCAUGGGUGAAAGCGCAAUCCCAACUGUCUAAUUUCGUGCUUAAAGGGGUUCGCAGUACUUGCUUUAUGCCUUUCCUUCUGACUUUCCUGAGCGGGGAAGGUAUAUAUUUAGUCAGGAGAUGGACUUUCACUACCACUACUUAGCCCGAGUUAGAUAGAGGAUAGCAAAUGGACGGACCGUGGGGUGGGCAUGCCUCUACGAUAGCCCAAAGAGAAAGUCAACCAUUACCGACCGACUUAAAGGAAGUGAGGGAAUCAAGCCAGUGAAUUAGAGUUAAUACUAGAGUAGCUCACCUCAGCCUGAAACUUCUAAUAGAUAGAGAUGGAGUACGUAGUGAGAGUCAAGGUUGAUUGAUGAGUUCAGUGGACAGGACGAUCGAUGUGAGGCCUAGGCCAAGUCAGUACCACGUGUGUGUGCAGGAGCUAACGAUCCGUGCCCCCUAUUAGCUGAUCGAGGGGAAAUUUCAUUCUCCUUUCUUCAUGAGAAAAGGCACCACCCAGACAGGACGGAAGCUAUAGUCAUAACAUCGCCGAAAACAACCAUCGACUGGCAAGAUACUGCCCGGGAGCAGAAAGAGUCAGGGGGUGAAGCCUACGCUAGCAUGCCUACCGCCCCCACUCUCUACUAUUGGUGGCUAAUAGGCCCCUUCGCGUAUCCUGUCUUUUGGUUGGCCAGUAAGGAGUAGUUUUGGCUUUAGACUAAGAGAACGAGCUAGACAGAAAAGGUAACACCAAAAGAAGGAAGGUCAAGAAUGUACAAGAAUCGGUUGCUAUUGAAUUCGCUUAUGCUUCUAGAAAAAGGAAAGUCUUUCGGCACGCGGAAUGGAAACGUUUUUCUUUUCCUCAUGAAACAUAAAGUAGAAGGAAGAUGACAAUCGCAAGACACCAGUUCAACAUACGAUUGUCCUGUCCUGUAAAGAGAAGGCGUGACUUCUUUAGAUAGAAAGAAAAAUAGGGAAUCGGCUGCAUCAACUCUUUCAGGGUCGUCCAAAGAAAAAUACGCUUAUCAAUAGUACGCAAAGCAAAGAAAGGGGUUCCCCCGGCACCAUUAGAUGGAAUUUUCAGUAGAUCAAGUGGGAGGGGAAAAACAAAUAUGUAAAGGAUCCCAGCAGAUGCGAGACAGAUGUAAAAAGCAUCUGUUUAGGGUCAGAUUGGACUUUAUCUUCUUGCCCUGCUUGCCACCACUCCGAAAGCCUGAUUCGCAGCUCUCUAAAUCAUUCCGAAGUCUGUUAAGGGUCUAGCUCAGCUCUAAGCCUAGGAUAGGACCUUGUCCAGGAACCAACUUCUUUCUAUUUUAGUAUAAUUAGAACGGAGUCUCAGUAAACCGUGCUAAAGCCCACCCUCUAGCCCGUCAGGCUUUUCCCAGACUCAUCUCGCCGGCGAAAUUCUAUUCUCUUACCUCCUAUGAGCCCUAAGCAGACCAAGCUUCCUUAGCGUACUGAGCUACCAGAACAGAGACUAGCUACAAUGGUAUGAAUUCUCCUUUCUAGAGUCAUCGGCCAGCCAUAAGGAAUGAGAGGAUACUUUUUAUUUUGAAACCUUCAUAUCUUUCUGGAGACAGAGAUCUUACUGCUACCUUCUCGAGUCUGACAGUCUAGUCUUCUAGGCUUUUAGCUUUUAGGAUCCUUUUUCUCUCUGAUCCUUCGUGCGUGAUUUAUUUUAUUCCUAUUUAGCUUUCUUUUAGUUGCCGUCCUUGGAACACUCCAACUGUGAGUUGGCAGCCCUUGGAGACUGGCAAGUAAGCUAAGCUAUCCGUGCUGUUGUCGUAGGGCGUAGUGAGCUCGAUCUACUGAAUCACAGGCUGAGCCACGAGUUGUUGGUGGAGCUUCGAGUGAUCGAUGGGCAUCUCUCAGCCGAGUGGAGUAAGUUAUUUUAAGUGAACUAAGCUUUCCGCAGUUCCGCACGACGAUCGGAAAACACUAUCACACCUGGCUUGCUAUUCCGAGGAGCCACUUUUUUGUCUCGCAGCGGCAGCAUCUGUUGUCUUUAGAACGAAGUGCCUUGGUUGGUCGUAUCCAUCUCUAGAAGUGGGGGAUUUUUCACUUUCUAUCUAGACCAGUUUUUGCAACUAAUUGAAUGGAUCACCCAGGGGAACCUCCCAACAACUCACUAUCCCUCGGUUUCUACCUCUUCCUUUUUUACAUCCUUUCUAACAGUCUUGGCGAAAGGAAAGGUCGGAUAAUGGGCUACAUGUUGGAAUGCCUCUAAGGAGGAACUACACUGGCAUUUGAUAAUCGAAAAAGCCAACCAAUUCAAAUACAGGGCUUUUGAUAGAGCCCUUUACAGGAGGAGAUGCUCAGGGCGCGAUAAAGCUCGUCACGAGACCGAGAAAGCUCAUCAGUGGAAGAAAUAUGUCACGUAGUCUCGAUUUCGCAGUUUAUAAUUAUGAAUCUCUCCCAUAGAUUGAGACUUAUAGAUUUCAAGCAAGUAAGGGAGGCCUGCCUUAAGAUUGACAACAGGUCGGUCGAUAUCGGUACUGGUUCAGCCUGUGAGGGAUUCAUUCAGUAAGGGAGGGGGCUCUAAAUCCGCCUAGGGGAGAGAAAAAAAGGAAGACCUUUGAGCACUCAAGAUGAGAAGAAUCCCGCUGUCCUGUCUCAUUCCCAUUCUCUUUGAAGCACAGAUCUCAUCUCUUUUCAAUGCAAAAUAAGGGCAUUUAUCUCAAGUUAGAGAGGGCAAACACACACCUGUCUAACUUUUCGCUGUACUGGCAUUUCGCUCUCAUCGAUGGAACUACUUCAACGAAAAGAUUUAGUUGACUGAAUGACUGGUCUAGGGUGAGAAUAGCAUGUGUUCUCUUCAAACUAGGUUUUCAUGGGCGGGCUAUUGAGAAGAAUGAGGUUCUCAUAUCAGAAUCCCUAUUCAAACGAGGGGAGAAGGAACUGUUAACGAACAGUAGGUGUUCUCUUCAAAGCAAGCAAGACCGGCGAAGGGUUAAAGCGAUUCUUUUGAAAAGAGUCUUCGUUGAAGUGAGCUCCUGUCUAAUAGUAGACAGGCAGGUACGUGCUCCGAUAUAAGGGGGUAAGCUCGGCAAGUAAAGGAUAUAAGGAAAGAAGCUCAUAAAGUCAUGACAUGCAACCGAGCAAAUAGAACCUUCCCUCUCUGCAAGCAAAGAAAGAAGAAGGUGAGCGAUUGUAAGGGAGAGGAAUGGAAGUGAGAAGCGGCGGAUGGGUCGGUCUAGUUCAAAGCCUAAGCAAAAAUGGGUCUAGUUCAAUAAGCGUACGAUUGGUGAAGCUAUGAAUCGACAGAUUUUGGAGUGAAAUAGACGUUGGAGUGUGAAUCGGUAGAUUUCCAGUGCGGGAGUUCGAGGUUGUAUUUCUUUGAUUCUGGUUUCCGAUCUAAUCAUGUGAUUCUUUCAAUCAGCAUGCUCUUCUCCGAUGUAUUCUUUUAGGCGAAGAAGCGGUUUAUCCGAGAGUGGGGUUACUUACCAGAGAGUUUGGCUUGGUCUUGCUUUCUUCUUUGUUGAGCAGUUAUCUAAUUCGUCCUCAUUGCCAAUCUUUACUCCUGCUUCAGACCUGUUUAAAGUCUCCGUAAUGUCCGAGCGUUAGCAAUCCUCUAAUUGUGGUCUUAGAGCUCUCUAGAGCCCUUAAGAUGAAAUGGUUUUGCAAUCAUGCUCCUCUAUCCAUUCUCGACUUAAUCCUCUCUAGCUUUGGUUCGUAUUGGGAGUGUUCUCCUUUUGGGGUUCGGGGGCUUGCCUCCCAUCUGGUACUUAUGUGGUAGGUGGGUUAUUGAAGGUGGAUAGGUUUUUGUAAGAAUCAGUUUAAGGAUCAAGAUCGGUAGAAAGAUCAAGAUCAGGAAGAGCUUCUCUUCGAAGGUGCCGCUGAGGAGCUCUGUUUGGGUACCCCCCUCCGGCUCGUAGUUGAGAAGAGCUUUCGUUUAGGAAAGGGCUAAAUGGGUGCGAUCCCUCUCGUUGAGAGUCAAGGGUCUCCUGGAGUAGAAGGCACAUCCUGGAUCUAUUAAGCCGGCAAGGGUUCAGCAUUGGCUUUCACGACCGCAAAGGGGCCAUCUCUCAGUCGGAGUAGAUAGAAAGGAUCUUCUGAUCAAUCCAGAGAUCAUUUCGAUUCCAUUAGUAAUGAGGAUUCGGAAUAUCACACAUUGAUCAAUCAAAGAGAGAUCGAUUCUUUGGGAUCCUUCCUUUCUUCAAAGGGAACAAACAGAGAUAGAAUCAGACCGAUUCCCGAAAUGCCUUUCUGGAUAUUCCUUAAUGUCCCACCUUUAGUAAGCAUCUUGUUGCUUCUUUUUUGCCCGCGCUUAAGAGUGCUUGUAAUGAUUAACCUCUAUCAUCGACUAUAUACUGAAGAUCCUUGUUUCACUUCAGGAAAUUCAGUAUAUGUUGUAAGCUUUAGAGAAUAGGGGCGAGGUCCCCAUACUACAGAAGGCCGUAAGCAGUGGCUCGACAUGGUUCGAAUCAAGCGAAACCAAAGGCAUUCGUUGGCACCCGAGAUGCUAAGGAUCGAAGACUUUUGGGAUAUGGAAUAGUACUUUCUGUUUGUGCCCCUUUUGACGACCAAGUCACAAUGGCAACAAUGUAUCUAUCUGGGGCAGCUGUGGUGACGGACGCGAUAUGAGGACAUGCUGGAGGGCCGUUGCGAGAUCAACGCCUGGGAUGGGAGGAACUAAAUAGGGAGCUCAAGGAAAGGAGCAGUUCCUGCCUGGGAACGUUGUAUGGCUCGCACGAGAGUCCCUGAUGCGGGCCGGCACUGUUCGAGAAAAUCAAAGCAGACCAUGGGGGACUGACCCGAGCUAUAGACAAAGAAGGACUUUGAUAGAUAGAAAAAGGCACUAAGACAUCAAAAAGAGGGCUACUUCACUAUGAAUGGUAACAUAUGAAUUGAAACUAAUGCGACGGGUGUCAAUUACCAAAAACGACUCGACCACUAACUCAGUCCCGCGGGACAUUUCUAACACAAGGCCGAAGAUGGAUGCGAAGAAUAUUGGAAACCACUCUCGAACCAUCACACGGAUUCCAACCCAACUGCCCAUGAUAUAGUAAGAACGGAAUGGAAAGGCAAAAAAACGAUUCUAUACGCAGACGUGAAAGCUCUAUCGAUAGAAGCAUUCAUUCUAGCCUAGCCUAUCUUUCUUUUUUUUUAGAGAGGAACGAUUCCCUCGUCUGAGAACCGCCAUUCACGCACUAUUCCUCCCCACUAAAAAGAGCGAUUGAGAAUCUCGAUAACCUAAACAAAAAUGCAGAAGUGAGCGUACCCCAAAGCUAUCCUCUCUUCCCCUUUUUUAGCCAACCCCAUUUUUUUUUCACCUUGAAUUGGUCAAAGCCAAAAAUCUGAUAAAAGGAAGAGAGAUCAGAAAGAUACGCGGACGACUUUACUAUAGUAUAGGUCGGAUGUUUCCGUGAGCAGUAAGCAGCAGAUCUCCCCUUAUUGAUUUUGGGAAAGCUGGUGGCCGCCUGUGAAUUCAAGGCAAGGGGCGGCCUGAUUCGACAUUGUUGUUUACUCUGAUCCGGUCGAGGUGGUUUUCGUUUACCAGCGCGUAGGCGGUCUAAGUUCCUAUGACCGAGUCUUUCUGGCCCCUGUGAACAUCUUUUCUUAAUGUAUUAAAGAGGGCCUCUCUAACCGGUGAAAAGUGGUGGGUGUCCACUAACGGCCAUUCCUGGCUCGGCUCCGAUAACGCAAUUCCGGAAGGAGUCGGUAGUUGGGCACUGGAUCCCUUCGGACCUGGAGAACGUGUGACGCUGGGUCGGGGUUUGGUGAACCAACUGGUCGCUCCUCUAGUUGAAGUAUCGGGCCCCUUUUUCUUUCGUUGCCUAGGUUACACCUUCGGAAUACCCCAGAAGGGAAUUUUUCUCUAUUUCCCUCA